rnacentral:lncRNA from 1 species
GAGACUUGUACUUGUAAGGAUGCUUGGGUGGUGAUGGAGGAGGUGGUGGGGACUUAUACUUGUAAACAGGAGUUGGUGGGGGAGGAGAUUUGUACUUGUAAGGCUUCUUGUGUGGUGGUGGUGGUGGUGGAGAGUAGACCGGAGGAGGCGGUGGUGGAGACUUGUAAUGGUAAGGUGGUGGUGGGUACUUCUUAGGAGGUGGUGGAGGAGAAGAAUAAGUGUAAUCUGCUGAGGUUUCAAAAGGCAAAUUGAGAGACACUGCUAAAACUAAAAGAGUGAGAAAGAGAGAGGUCAUUGAUGACCCCAUUUUCCCCAUACUUCUAAAAAUGGGUUUAAUUUGGUUAUGCUCUUAGCAACCCUCUUCACUCCCUUUAUAUAGACUUUUUUUUUAACCUUAUAAUCAUGAUAAAAGUUUGAAGAUGGACCGAACCUUCAGCAGCAUGUAAAAAAGACAUUACGUUUAGGUUAUUAGCAUGGUAUGAUAUAAUAAUUCUCUAUUCUCUUCCUUGUCGUUUCCCAUAAAUUCAAUUUUCUCUAUUAAAUAUUUAUCAAAUUCAUUUCUCACUCCCUAUUAAUUCUUUAAUAAGUUUAUAGAAUAUGAAUAAUUAAUCAUUAAACUCGAUUUAAUAAAUACUUUAAACAAUUAAUAAUUUAUCUUAUUUUAUGCUUUAAUUAAGGCAUCAAAUCAUAAUCCUAUUUUAUAUUUUGAAAAUUUAUCAUUUUUUAAAGAACUUAAUUGAUUAAAAUGUGAUUCUAAUAUUUGGCAGGAAAAAUUAGUUUACUUUCCUUAGAAUGUAAUAUUCUUUUGAGAGUUAUUUUCUUACUAAUAAUAGAAAGUGAUAAUUCGUGAGAAAAUUACUUUCACAUGUAAAUAAAAAUUAUUAGAACAAAAAAUUAACUUUCUUUUAUUUAUGUUUAGGUACUAAUUAACUUAUUGAGAUAAAGAUAGUUGUAGCUUGCUUUUUCAUGUCAUUUUCUUAUCUUUACAACUUCAAACCAUUAUUCUAGAGUAAGUUUUUUUUUUUUUUUCUAAAUAGUAGAUAAAUAUCUAUAUUUUAUUUUGCUAUAAGAAAAUUAUAUUUUUUAGCAUACAAAACUUAAAGACAACUUGUAGAAUCAAGUAAUUCUAUGAAAAGCAAGCCUAUUCACAUAUAAUACCUAUUACUCUAGCAAUAAUAAUAUUGACAUUGUCUAAAUUUUCUAAUAAAAAAAUUAUAUAAUUUGUAUGUGUUAAAAAUGAAAAAUAUGGCGGUUAUUAAAAAAGAUUUCAUACAUCUAAAUGAAACUACUAAUUUAAAAAUUAGUAUUGAGAUAAUUUCAAGUUAAUAUUGAAUAUACUUGAAUUUGUACAUACAAAGUAAUGAGGGUAAAAAUUUUGUAAAUUGUACAUCUUCACAAUCUUGAGUUAAUAUACAAUUUUUUAAUGUAUUAAUAUAAUGUUUUAGAUCAAGAUGUGAAAAAACAUAACUCAAAUAUUUGUUAAUAAUAAAAAAUUAUUAAUAAAUAUUUAAUUCAAAAUUUAUUAAUAAUAAAAAUUAUUGAAAAAUAUUAAAUACGUUAAUAUUAUUUUUAUAUAAUAAUGAUAAUUUUGUACAGUAAUCUUAUAUUCUCAAUAAGUGUUAAAUGUCUCAAGAUUUUAAUUAAUACUUUUCAGUGGUUACCAAACAUUGUGAAAUAACUUCUUGAACAAUGAUAUUCUUAUCAAUCACAUUCCAUUAGAAAUUUAACAUAGGAAAGCACCAAAACAACCGCUUAAAAAUGAAUGUGCAUGAUUAAAAUCGCGAUAAGUCUUGUUUAUCUAAAAUUUAAAUAUUCAUUUUAUUAUUUAAAAUAUAUUAAUUUUCCAAAAACAAUCAUUAAUAUUUAUAUUUCUAAUUUUAAACAUUCUUUUGUUAAUUAAAUGAUAGUGUAAACGGUUAAACUCAAAUCGAAAGCAUUUUAUCUUAUAGUAGAUUAUAUGACUCAUAUUAUGGUUGAAAGUAAAAUGUAUAAAAUCAAUACAAACAUCAAAUAUUAAACUUGCACUCAAUAGAUUUUAAAAUUUCUAAUUUUACCACUAAUCUAUUUUAAGAUUUUUAAAAAAUCGUACUUUAGAUUAUCUAAUUUAAAUUUUAAAAUUAUUAAAAAUAAAAAAAUUCUUAAUAAAAAAAUUUGUUUCAAAUUUUUAACCUUUUAAUAUAAUUGUUUUAACUGGUUAUCUAAACUAAAUAAAAACUUAUUUAGUAUAAAAAAAAGUGGUAAAUGUGAAAGGAGCACAAAUCACAACUACAAUAUGCUACAUUAGUUUUAUAAUUGGAUUAAUUUAAUCACCGGCAGAGGAAAUGUGUUAGUUCUAGCUACCACCAAUUUAUUUUAAUUCCUUUAAAAAUAUUAGAAAAAAUCAAUUUGAUUUUUAAUAAUAGAUCUAAUUACUUAAAGGAACAUCGGUGAUGUCCACAUGGCAUACAAGGUUAAGCAUAUAAAAAAAGAACAAAAAGAUUAAGUAUCUUUGCAAGAUAGCUUUCUGAAAUAAAUAAAACUUAAAUAAAAACAAUUUUAUUAUCAAAAUAAAAAGAAAAAAGAAAAGAAAUACUAGUGUUUUUAAUUAAAAUAGAGUGAUCUGGGUAGAAUCUUUUACUUAAAUACUGACAUUGACUUUAUAAGCUAUUUUUUAUCAAAAGAAGAAAGAGAAAAGCAUCCGAUUGAAGAUGUGAAUUAUUAAAUUAAAAUUAAUCAUACAUGUAAAAUUUUAUUGUGCUUUUUUCUAGCCCUCCGAAUGACAUUAUGCUUUGAUUACAACAUUCUUGCUCAGAGAUCGGGUUUGAAGAUGAACUCGGAUGCAUUUAGAUUUUUACAAGUAAAUUAAAGGAUGUUAGAACUUGUAUUCCGAUAAACUUAUAAUACAGAAAGCAAGUAAUAUGUGACUGUACAUAAUGGCUAUGAGGCGAGGAUAUGAUAUGAGAAGAUAGAGAUGAGAGAUUGCACUUAAGGGGUUAACACCACUUUCCUUUUUGUGUUUGGUCCCCAAAGCAUCUCUUAUUGGCUGAUGUUGCAAGGCCGUCCCAUAAGUUGGUCUAAAAGUGCUUGAUAGCUAGAAUUAAUAUUGUGGUAUAACAUAUGUCACCACUAGGUUUGAAUAAGGUUACACAGUGAUUUGAUGAAGAUUUAAAAAAGCAUAGAGAUAAUUAUGUUGCAAAUAUUGUAAAAGUAAGAGCUAAAUUGUUUGGCUUUAUUAGAGUUUAGACUCUGUUAGUCUAUUACCAUUCUCUAUUAGUCUGUUACCAUUUUGUUAUAUAGGCUGUAAUAUUGUUAGAAAGCAGUUAGCAGCUGUUAGUCAUAGUAGUUAGUCAUACAAAUAUAAAUUCUAUUCAUGUAUUGUUCAAAGGUAAGCUAAUAAUAUCAGAAGCGAUUUAAUGUAUUCAUUCUACUUUUUUUUUAUUCUUCAUAAUACAGUUGUUAACAUGGUAUCAGUACCCUAAUUUCUUAGAGGUCGCUUCUAUUGUAGAUCCAUGGCCAAUUCCACUGAUUCUACCUCCACUGGUCGUAGCAGUCCCUCGUUCUCGAUUCAUGUUUGGUUCAAUCGUUUCCUCGUCGUCACACUGAGAAGUUAGAUGAAAGAAAUGUUAUGCAAUGCCAACAGCAUAUCCUAUUGAUAAUUGAAGGGUAUGAACUCAUAAGAUUUUUAGAAGGGACGUUACCUACUCCGCCUCGCUUUGUGUCAUCUCCCGAUGGAACCUUGGCUUCGGCUCCCGAUGCAUUCCUGUUUGUUCAGCAAGAUAAGUUACUCGCUCUUUGGUUGCUUUCUACGAUUAGUGCUCCUUUGUUGUCCUCUUUUAUAGCUGCUAAGACACCGUGUGAGGUUUGGAGCACUGUGAAUCACCUCUUUACUGUUUCCACCAGAGCGAAGUUAUCGCGUAUUAAGCAUGAACUCCACUCCAUCAAGAAAGGCAUGAUGACUGUCAAAGAGUAUAUUAUUAAGAUUCAAAAUACCUGCACCUUACUCGAGGCAUCUGGAUUGGUGGUUUCGAAGGCCGAGAAGGUAGAGAUCAUUCUUGCUGGCCUAUCGUCAGAUUAUGAUGUCGUUUUAACACUACCAUAGUUCUCUUCUGAAACUCUUCCGUUACAGAAGAUAGUUGUUGUGCUACUGAAGUUCGAAAGCCGUCAGACUCAUGUCGUGAAUGACAUACCUUUUCAUGCUCAUCUGGUAGAGGCCACUUCGGCGACAUCGGUGGAGGACUCCGUACAUGGUAGCCAUCCUCCUCCUGGUGCUCGUGGGCAUGACUUUCGACUCGGCUUCAGUUCCAGAUCUAUGGUUGCUAUGGACAUCUGGCACAACGCUGUUAUUAUCAUUUCAACCGCGAAUACAGUGGUCUAUCUGCUCUGACCAUGGCGCAGGCUUCGCUUUUGUGCUGGGCACUAUUCGUGUGACAAUGUUUUUGGUGCAACUGGUCUCUUGACCGGCUGGUUUCCAUCAGCUCAUCCUAGUUCAAACCCCUUCGAUGUGCCUGGACAGUGUGCCGAUUCUUCGGUGACGGUACCGGCGCAUUUCCCUUAUGGCUCCUCUUGGGGAGGAUGGCCACAUUUGUAAAACAAUGCCUCCCUUGUGCCAAGUCUACCGAAUGUUAGGGUUUCUAACCUUUUUGCUCCUAAUUUUAACAAUGAGGCAAGCUAAGUGUUUGGGCCCGCUGUUGAACCAGGCUCAAAUAGUGACCAAUCUGGUGGUCCUCACUUGCCGCUGAAGAUGGGCUAACGCAUUGGGCCAUUCGCUGGUGUUCCUAGGCCAACUGCUUCAGGCCAAGAUUUUGGCCUAAAUGGAAUUGGUAGGCCAGCCAGUGCUCGUCCUAGCAUUGGAUAGGGUUCACUUGGGUCAAAUGUCAAUUUUAUUGGACUUGAGGGUUCUUUUGGGUAUAGACAAGAGUUUGGGCCCACCACUGGCAAUGUUUCAGUGCCAAUUAAUAGAUCAUGUGUUCCAUGGCACACAAAAUCGAGGGCACGCGUUAUUGAUUUUGAUUCUUCGCUGUGCGUUGGGUUGCAUCGCUUUACUAAUUUUCACGCAUCCGAUUUUUUUACUACCACUGGGUCUAAUGCCAAUACAACUCCAUAUAGGUCUAAUUUUGAUAAUGGUAAUUCUUACAUUCCUAUGCCUAUAGGGACCUCAUCAUGGUGUCUUGAUUUAGGGGCUACGCAUCAUGUCUGUUGAGAAGUCUCUGCCUUGAAUAAGUCUACGCCAUACUCAAGUACAUCUCCUUUCUUCACGGAUGAUGGUAUUCCUACAAAAAUAUCGUAUGUUCGGAAUCUUAUCUUGUCUAUGAAAACCAAAUUGCUUCAUUUGUCUAAUGUUUUGUGUGUGCCAAAUAUACGGAAGAAUUUGCUAUUUGUUUCUCAGUUUGCUAAUGACAAUAACGUGUUCUUUAAAUAUCACCUGUCUUAUUGUGUUAUUAAAGACAUCCAGACUCAUGAAAUUUUACUACGGGGCUACACUCGUGAUGGGCUCUAUUAUUUUUCGUCGGUUACUCUUGCUCUGUUUGUCGUUGUUCCUUUUUUCAUAGCACUGGGAUCUAGAGUCGCAAUGCAUAUGAUGAUUGUUUUGCAUUAUGGCAUCACAGGCAUAGUCAUUUGUCUGCCUCGAUUGUUAAACUUGUUCUCGAUAAGUGUCAAGUUGUUUCAAAAUAAAAUGUGCCUUGAAAAUAUUUGUAUUGCAUGUCAAAACGGGAAGUCUCACAAACUGCCUUUUUCAAGUUCUACUACUGAAUAUACAAAUUUGUUUGAUUUGGUUGUCUCUAACUUAUGGGGACCAACGUCUGUUGUCUGUAGAAAUAAUUUAUAUUAUGUUUUGUUUAUCGAGAUGUGUAGUUGAUAAACCGUAAUUUAUACAUAUUUUUAUCCUAUGUUUGGCACAUUUAUAGAUGAUUUAUCCUUAGAUUUGGUGAAUUCGAUGCUCCUAAUCCUUUAAUUUCAUAUUUUAUACUUAGGAGAGCAUAGGAGGGCAAAAAGAGCGAGAAACGGGCCGAAAACGGAAAAAAUAGACCCACAUGGGAAAUCAACAUGGCCUGGACUUCCUCACACUGGUAAGCCACACGGCCGUGUCCAUUUGGCAGGAUCGAAGCAAGACUUACACGAGUAGACUACACGCCCGUGCCUUUUUAAUAGCCUUGACCACUGUCUGGAGCAAUCGCGCACGGGCAUGUCCCUGUCGAGCCCAAGUAUAGUCUUAUUCGGAAAAGGUCUAUUUUAAGGGCUCUUAGGCAUUCUAAAGCUUAUUUAAUCACCUGAGAAGGCACUUAAAAGGGGGGACACGGAGUAGGAAGCAAGGAAUUACUCGAAGAAAGCCGAUUGAUCCAUCUCAGAAGCCUGAUUAUUCAUCAAGACUGAAAAUCUCCCUUCAAUUACCAUUCAGGAGUUUUGGGUUUUCUUUAUGUUUUGUAUUCAUUAUUCUUCUGAGAUGUUUUCUUUUAUAAUUAUGAUUUAAACCCUCUAAAUACCUAAGGGGAAUGAAACCUAAACGGAUCUUGUUAUUAUUAUCUGAAUUAUAUGAUAAAUAUUUGACUUGUUUUUAAUUAUAUGUUCUUAAUUCUUGUCUUAAUAUUCCAGGAUAUUGAUUCAAGUUAAUGCGCUUAUUCAGAGGAGCAAAAGUCCCUGUCUAAGAGUAAAUUUGUCAUAAUUAAACAGAGUUGAUUGCACACCUAAAGAUAGGGUAACAAGAUUUUGCCGAAUUAGGGUGAAACCUAAUAAGGAGAUCCAUAGAUCGAGUUAAUGCAACACUAGGGCGUUAAAUAGAAAGAGAUUUCAAUUAAUCAACCUAGGGUUAGAUGUUAUUAGUCUUGAGAGAGAUAAUAAUAUAACUUAGGGAUUUGUACGGAUCAUGUCAAAUGGAUAAAUCGACUGAUUCAGAGUCAAAUAACAAGUGAAGUCUAGGUGGAUUUUUCCUUGGGUAUUGUCCUAAUCAAGCGAAUUUUCUAAAAGUAUUUUCCCCAAUUUUUCAAGCGAAUUUUCUAAAAGUAUUUUCCCCAAUUUUCUUUCUCUGCACCCUUAGUUUAGUUAAUUAGUUUUAAUAAACAAAUCCUUUAAUUUUUAGGUUAGAUAAUAAAAAGAAAGUGAUUACUAGUACUCUUGGUUCCUUUGGGUUCGACAAUUCGGUCUUGCUAAAGCUAUAUUACUGUUCGAUAGGUACACUUGUCUUUAUCGUGAUAAUAGUUGGUUUCAAUAACGAUCAUUUCUAAAUUAUUUAAAACUUAUCGCAAGUAUCAUGAAUCAAGUUUUUGGCGCCGUUUCCGGGGAACUAAGAUAUUAGGAACACUUGAUUUUUAUUACUUUAGCCAUUUUUCUUUAUUUUUACUUUAAAUUUUUAUUUUCUUUUCUAAUUUUUCUUUUAUUUGUUCCUGACAGGUUUUUAUAGUUUAUGAUUAGAAGAAACCCGUCGGGACCAUUACUGUUUGAUAGUGAGAUCGAUCGCACAGUUCACAGAAACCAAAGAAAAAUAAGACGAAGCUUAAGAUACAAAAAGGAAGAGUAAGACGACGAUACUUCAACCACAAUCGAGAAGAUGGCUGAAAACCAGGAAAAUUUGCUACCUCCUGUGAUUUCUGCUGAUCCAGUAAAUCAGAAUCCUACUCCACGCACUAAGUAUGAUUAUGCUAAACCUACUUUAACAGGAACUGAGUCAAGUAUAGUUAGGCCUGCUAUUGCUGCGAAUAAUUUUGAACUGAAACCUAACACAAUUGAAAUGAUACAGCAAUUUGUUCAGUUUGAUGGUUUGCAGGAUGAGGAUCCAAACAACCACUUGGAAAAUUUUCUAGAGUUUUGCGAUACAUUUAAAAUCAAUGGCGUUUCUACUGAUGCCAUUCGCCUUCAGUUAUUCCCUUUUUCAUUGAGGAACAAAGCUAAACAGUGGUUGAACUCGUUACCACAAGGGUCAAUCACUGCUUGGGAACAAAUGACCGAAAAAUUUUUAUUAAAAUAUUUUUCGUCGACUAAAACAGCCAAAUUACGUAAUGAUAUCUCUUCAUUUAUGCAAAUGAAUAUAGAAACACUCUAUGAUGCAUGGGAGAGAUACAAGGACCUUUUAAGAAGAUGUCCUCACCAUGGGUUACCACUCUGGCUACAGGUUCAAACGUUUCACAAUGGCCUGAAUCCUUCGACUAGACAGAUGAUUGACGCAGCUGUUGGAGGAACUAUCAAUAAUAAGACACCUGAGGAUGCUUAUGAAUUUAUAGAAGAGAUGUCACUAAAUAAUUAUCAAUAGCAAGUCAUGAGGACAAAACCGAUGAAAGCAACCGGGGUUUUUAAUGUUGAUUCGGUCACCAUACUUUCUAAUCAGGUAGAACUUUUGAAUAGAAAAAUUAACAGUUUUUUUGGUUCUUCACAGGUUCACCCAGUAAUGCAAUGCAAUGCAAGUGGGGGAGAAUUGAGCAAUUCAGAAUGCCCACCCUAUGGCCACAACAUGAAAAACAAGCAAUUAAAUUAUAUGGAUAAUAAUCCUCGACCUCAAAAUAAUCCUUAUAGUAACACUUACAAUACAGGAUGGAGGAACCACCCAAAUUUCUCAUGGGGAGGCCAAGGGAAUCAGAGACCACCACCAUUUCCAGGUUUCUAACAGCAACCUUACCAGCAAAAUAAAAAUUUGAACCUUGAGGAAAUGCUAACAAAAUUCAUCUUGGUGUCAGAAACUCGUUUCCAGAAUACCGAGACAGCACUUAAAAAUCAACAAGCGUCGAUCCAAGGGCUCGAAACUCAGAUAGGCCAGCUCGCUAAAUUGAUAUCUGAAUGAACACAAGGUAGCCUACUGAGUAACACUGAAUCUAACCCAAGGGAGCAACUCAAUGCGAUUGCCAUUCAAGAUGAGGAAGGGUUAGUUACAUCUAAACCAGAACCGAGGCAAGAAACUGUGGUAAGUAAAGGUAAAGGUAAGGUAAACCACAUCGAGCAGAAACCGGUAAGUAAAGAGUACAAACCACGAGUGUCAUACCCAAAUGCGACAAAGAAAGACCAUACAGAUGAACAAUUUUGUAAACUCCUUAAACUAUUAAAGAAAUUACACAUUAACUUACCGUUUAUUGAAGCCCUUUCGUAGAUGCCGAACGCAGUCAAGUUUUUAAAGGAGCUUUUAGGAAACAAGUGAAAGUUGGAUGAAGCGUCGCAUGUGGAGUUGAACGUAGCUUGCUCAGCUAUUCUACAAAAUAAGCUACCCAACAAAUUAAAAGAUCCAGAGAGUUUUACAAUUCCUUGCUUAAUUGGUAGCUUAGAUGUUAAUAAUACUUUGGCUGAUUUAGGGGCUAGCAUCAAUGUCAUGCCUUACAAAAUGUUUAAGUAACUAGGUCUUGAGAAACCCAAACAAACUAAGAUGAGUAUUCAAUUAACCGAUGAAACAAUUAGAUUUCCUAGGGUUAUUAUUGAAGAUGUACUCAUUAAAAUUGACAAAUUUAUAUUCCCAGUUGAUUUCGUUGUUCUAGACAUAGAGGAGGAUAGUAACGUUCCUUUAAUUUUAGGGAGCCCUUUUUAGCAACUGUUAGAACAAUAAUUGAUGUUGGCACAGGUGAACUCACACUUCGUGUGGGAGACGAAACAAUCACCCUUUAAGCUCGUAAUUCAAGUAACACAUCAAAAAUUGAAGGUGGUUGUAUAAAUCAUACUAUUAAAACUGAUCAUUUGGUGAAACCUUCCUGGCAGGAAACACGUUCAAAGAACACACCUGAGCCAUGUUCGAGUAACGACAAAAGACCUAUCUAUGAAGAAUGAAGGCUACAACUUGAGGAACUAGAUGAAUAGCUGACACAUAAACCGAGGACACACGAUAAACCAAAACCAUGCCAUGACGAGCUCAAUAUUUCACCAAAUCAACUUAAGGUUGGAGACAAAGUACUACUAGAUGCGGUAGACCCUCGUAUUGCUACGUCUGAACCUAACGGAGCAAUCCCUCUUACAGUACUCAACAUUUUCCCAUAUGGUACAGUCGAGGUUAUUCAUCCCAAACUCGGCACUUUUAAGGUAAACAGUACUCGUCUUAAACCUUAUUUUGAUAAAAUUGAUAGCAGGGAUGAGGAGUGUGAACUCCUCACAUCACAAUGACCAUGCAACAGAAAGGUAAGUCGAGCUUAGACUAUAAAUAAGCGUUUUUCGGGAGGCAACCCGAGCAUUAAUGAUGUUAACUUUUUUAAAAUUUUAGUUUUUUACAUCUAAUCACUAACUGAGUCAGUGAAACACAGGUUUUCUAAUCUACACGGCCAAGCACACGGACAUGCCUUAGGCCGUGCUCACACCAUGGGAGGAGACACAGCCGUGCGAUACUGCCGUGUGAAAACAGGGUAAAAUUUUUCCUUAACACGGGAUGUGAUAAGUUGCCACGGCCGUGCGAUGUAGCCGUGGGCGAGUCUUUCAAACCAACACAGGCGUGUGACACACCCGUGUCUAUAAACCAUGGUUGAAACUGAGAAUUUAGCACGAGCAUGUCCUAUCAACCGUGCUCAAGACUGAAAAAAGAACACGGGCGUGGACAUCUAUACACGGGCAUUGGAGAAGAGAAUGAAACAGAACAUGGUCGUGUGACACAGACGUGUGCACCAACACGCCCAAAGAGCACGGGCGUGUGAAGAAUUUCAGACACGCCCAAAUUUGAAAAUUACGAUAAACACGAGCUGAAAUAAGGGCACAUGGGGGUGCCCCACGACCGUGUGCCCCAAAAUCUAUAUAAACCCCUUACUAUUCAUCACCCCCUUCCCCAAAAUCUCUAACCCUAGCCGCUGCAACUUCACAUGCCCUACCUGCCACGCCCGUGCACCGUCCACAGCACCACCUUUGACAACCCAAAGCUCCUCCCUCUUACGUUUGUACAUUUUUUUCCUUCUAUUCUCUUCAUUCUUUUACUUAUUUGAUGAUAUUUUAUUUUAUUUUGAGUAAAUAAUCAUAGUUAUAAUGAUAGAAUACUUAUGCUCUUUGUUAAGAAAUUUACCAUUUUAAUUGAUAUAUUUUGCUGCAUUUAUCCACUUUUCUUGUUUCCAUAGAUUUCAUGCUUACCCACACCAUAUUUCAUACUUAUUAAACCCACAUGCAUUCAUUCAAUAGAUAUUUCCAUUAGCAUUACUCUCGUAGUCCUAUUCAUAGUAAUGACUUAAUAUAUCUGAUUGGGUUAUUUUUAGUAUAGUUGUUCUUUAGUACAUGACUUCUAUGAAGUAUCUCUAUUAGUUUUACCAUGCAUAUUUUCUAUGCUAUUGCUGGGGAGUAAUUUUAUUUUUUAUUUUUUCUUGCCAUUGUAGGUAUACUAUCUCAACCUUACGUGGUAAGGAGACCGCCAUCCCCUCUUCGAAGAAAAGGAAAGGAGCAACGUCAUCCUCAGGUCCUACCGCUGAGAUCCGUUACCCUUUCCUCCAGUUUCCCUUUGGACCCCAGGAGGAACUAUUUCAGAUAUUACGGGUCCGACCCUUAGGUGUAGGCCACUGCAUUGACUGGGCUGCACUUAAAAAAAUUCAAAUGGCUGACGUGGUCCAAGCCCUCCUGACGACUACCCGUGGAGGCUUUUCUUUGAGAUCAUCGAGCCGAUGUACCACGAGCUCACAAUGGAACUCUACUCGACCUUCCAUCUUCAAGUCGCCAUGAUAAACUGCGACGAUCCUAGAACGGUCCAAUUCCACCUCAGUGGUCUAGUGCGCCAGUUGAGCGUACCGAAGUUCAGAAUUGCACUAGGGCUGUAUAUGGAAGAGUUCAUGGAUGACAACGAACUUGACACCCUCUAUUGCCACAUCCACUACUCUCUCUCCAAAUGCUGGAAGGACUUUGUCCCUGCCUCGGCCACCUAUGAUCCUAACUACUCUAAGGCAUCAGCCCUCACCCCAUCCCUGUGAUACCUACACGCCAUCUUAGCCCACACUCUGACAGGGCGGCGAGAGAGCACCGGCAUCAUCAACACUCACGACGCCUACUUUUUAUAGAGCAUGGCAAACGGGCACGUCUUCGACCUUGCCUAUUUCAUUGCUCUCGCCAUCCGCCAUCAGACGGAGCGGCAUAGGAGAGGAGUUAUCACCAUUAGCCACUAUGUGACUCGACUGGCACGGCACUUCGGGCUCCUCAACACAGCAGCAUAAUCAUCCUCACUCACUCUCAUUGGUCAUAUGUCCCCUCAAGGCAUCUCGAGUAUGCUACAUAUGAGGAUGCUCGAGAAACGACGUGGAACUUACCCUCCUCAGUACCGCCUCGUCCAGUCCACUAAAGAGGAGAACCCAUAAGACAUUACUGAUGAUGUCCCUCCACGUCAUGAGGACCCACCGUCUCAACCAUCACCCAUCCAUCGUCCAGUUCAUGCGGUGGCUUCAUACUCUGAUAUCUCUAAGCACCUUACUCGAUUUAAGCAGCAGUGUUUUCAGUGCUUUGAUCACAUUGAUGCUACUCUUCAUCAGAUUUGUCAGCACCUUCACAUCUCAUCGCCACCACCACCUCGCGAACCAUCCGGCGAUGCUGAUGUUUAAAGACUUUUUAUUUUUUAUUUUUAUUUCCACUUUUAUCUUUAUUUAUCUUCUUUAAGUAGUUUUUAUUUUAUUUUCCUUUAAUAUUAUUUCAAUUUUAGGUUUUAUAAUUUUUAUUGAAUAAUUUAUAGUUUUGGCUAUUUUAUUACGAGUAAUUAUGCUUCCUUAUAUUUCCUAAAGAGUUCUUGAUUUUAUCACAGUUAUAAAGAGCUCUAAAGCUCAUCAUCACUUAGGAACUAAAAAAUCACUGGAAAAGGUUCUCCACAACUGUCAAGUCCUGCUCGACCACGACCACAGCUACUACCAGAUAUAAUAUUCUGUUGGCGCAGGACUUAUGGACUAAUGAACCUCUACCACCACCGGAGUAUCCUCCUCCACUCUCAUCAUUGCCUUGGCUGAUUAUUCUCCAUAACUCCAAUUGAAGGAGUUCAUUCAUCAUUCAGGAAGUUUAACUUCUCUUCUUAUCUUAUGAGUAUUUAUCUAUAUUUUUCAGUAUAUCUAUCUUUGUACAUUGAGGGCAAUAUACAUCUUAAGUGUAGAGGGUCUUUUAUAUCAUUAUCAGAAAAAUCCCUGAAUUUUAUCUUGUUCUCAAAUCAUCUUCUCAUAUCAUUAUUAGAAUAAAAUUUGAUUAAUUUAUGAUUGUUAUUGAUAUGUCUUCAAUUAAAACAUAGGCAUUCAUGUAUUGAUUGUUUAAACUUUAAGGAAUUAGAUAAUCAAGCAGGAUAAGUUGAUUUUUGAGAAUUAAAAAUUUUUAGGUUGUUUCCCCAAGUUUAGGUAUUAUCUCGAGUUAAAAUUCACAGGGUUAACAUCAACAAGCCAUAAUUUCUGUAAGAUCUUGAGCCUUUAGAGCAACUAUUAUUUCUUUCAUGCUCACUGUUAUUAUUGAUAAUGAGUGUGUCAAUAUUGAUUUAUUAUUCUAGAACUUGCUUGAUUAUGCAUGUCAAGACCACACCCUUGAGUUAAUAUGUCAAUAUGAUAAAGGCACCUAGGUUUAACCCACUCACUCCAUAAAAGCAUACCUUCAUAAUUUACCCUUAGUGAACCCCUUUGAGCCUAACAAGCCAUUAAUUGAUUUACCCUCAAUGUUAACCCAUAACACAUUAUUGUUGAAAUCCCCUAAUUUGAUCCCUAUUUUUGUCGAGAUUUGAUUUGAAUUAUUGCAUAGCUAUGUUUUAUUCUUCGUUGCAAUAAUUAGCAAAGUCCUAUGUUAUUUCACUUGUUUAUUUCACUUGUUCCUAAAAAAAAAUACAAUACUUACUUACAUAUUAAUAGUAAUUCGUCAUUUUUGAGCUUAAGUGUUAAUUCCAUAUUCUAAGAAGAAGCUCACUCGUAUUCAACUUAUAAUUAGUUGUUUUUCUAGUUAGGUGAUUUUUUUAAUUCAAUCUCGAUUCUAACCUUUCCUUUUAGCUUGUGACCACACCCCCUAACCAAAGCCACGUUACAACCCUCUAAAGACCUUUUGAUUGAUGUAUCAUCUCAAUAUAUAGUGGUGGAGAUUUGAUUUUCUGCAAGCCUAUGGUAAUAACUUUUCAUAUUGACUAAUGAGUGCUUCAUUUAUUAUCCUUAAACACCUCGAGUGAUUUGAGUGAAUCUUUAGUGAGGAUGUUAAACUCCGUGAUAUUUUGAAUCAAAGGUAAUCACUUAGAUGAGGGGAGACACCUAUGUUUUCGUGAUGAAAUGCUCAACUUGGAAUGUUUGAAACUUUGAUAUUCUUCUAGUUGAAUUCUCCAUGUAUGAUUACUUAUGAUUUAUUUUAAGAUAUUAUUGAUAGAGAUUAUAGAUUGAGAAGAAUUUAUUUUGAUUGUGAGUUGAGGAUUUUGCUUGAGGACAAGCAAACGCUUAAGUGUGAGAGUUUUUGAUAAACCGCAAUUUAUACAUAUUUUUAUCCCAUGCUUAGCACAUUUAUAUAUGAUUUCUCCUUAGAUUUGGUGAAUUUGAUGCACCAAAUCCUUUAAUUUCAUGUUUUAUACUUAGGUGACCAUAGCAGAGUAAAAAGAGCGAGAAACAGGUCGACAACGGAGAAAAAUAGACCCACAUGGGAAAUCGACACGGCCUGGACUUCCUCACACGGGUAAGCCACACGGCCAUGUCCAUUUGGCAGGAUCGGCGUACAAUUUACACAGGUAGACUACAUGCCCACGAUUAUUUAGCAACCUUCACCACGGUUUGGAGCAAUCGCACACGGGCGUGUCACACAGGCGUGUCCCUGUCGAGCCCAAGUAAAGUCCUAUUCGAAAAAGGCCACUUUUGAUGGCUCUUAGGCAUUCUAAAGCCUAUUUAAACACCUGAGGAGGCAGUUAGAACGGGGGGACACAGAGUAGGAAGCAAUGAAUUACUCGAAAAAAGCCGAUUGAUCCAUCUCAGAAGCUGGAUUAUUCAUCAAGACUGAAGAUCUCUCUUCAAUUUCCAUUCAAGAGUUUUGGGUUUUCUUUAUGUUUUGUAUUCAUUAUUCUUCUAAGGGGAAUGAAACUUAAGACGAAUCUUGUUAUUAUUAUCUAAAUUAUAAGAUAAAUAUUUGACUUGUUCUUAAUUAUGUAUUCUUAAUUCUUGUCUUAAUAUUUCAGGAUAUUGAUUCAGGUUAAUGCGCUUAUUCAGAGGAGCAAAAGUCCCUGUCUAAGAGUAAAUUUGUCAUAAUUAAGUGGAGUUGAUUGCACGCCUAGAGAUAGGGUGACAAGAUUUUACCAGAUUAUGGUGAAACCUAAUAAGGGAUCCAUAGAUCGAGUAAAUGCAACACUAGGGCGUUAAUUACAAAGAGAUUUCAAUUAAUCAACCUAGGGUUAGAUGUUAUUAGUCUCGAGAGAGAUAAUAAUAUAACUUAGGGAUUUCUACGAAUCAAGUUAAAUGAACAAAUCGCCUGAUUCAGAGUCAAAUAACAAGUGAAUCUAGGUGGAUUUUUCCUUGGGUAUUGUCUUUAUUAAUCGAAUUUUCUAAAAAGUAUUUUCCCAAUUUUUAGGCUAGAUAAUAAAAAGAAAGUAAUUACUAGUACUCUUGGUUCCUUUGGGUUCGACAAUUCGGUCUUGUUAAAGCUAUACUACUGUUCGAUAGGUACACUUGCCUUCAUCGUGAUAAUAGUUGGUUUUAAGAACGAUCAUUUAUAAAUUAUUUAAAACUUAUCGCAAAUAUCAUAAAUCAGUAGUCGUUUUACAUGGAUUUAUCUCAUUAAAUGAAUGUCUCAGAUGGUUGACUAUUUUUUUCAGUUUCAAAAAAUGGUCAAAACUCAGUUUGGGAAAGAUAUUAAAAAUUUUCAAAGUGAUUGGGGUGGUGAGUUUCGUGCCUUCGCAUCAACUCUUGCUAUUCAUGGGAUACUUCAUCACCUCUCCCGUCCACAUACAUCCGAGCAGAACGGUAUAGCCAAACCAAAACAUCAAGACAUUGUUGAGAUAGGUCUUACUCUCUUGACCCAAGCUAAUAUGCCCAUGGAUUUCUGGGGUUACGUGUUUUGCAGUGUCGUUUAUCUCAUUAAUCGUCCACCUACCUUGGUUUUGAAAGGUCAAUCUCCGUAUUAAGUUCUUCAUGGUAGUGACCCUACAUAUGAUCAUUUACGGGUGUUUGGGUGUUAUUUCUUUCCAUACUUGCGUCUGUUUCUGCAACAGAACUUGGAUUUUUGUUCUCAGCCUUGCACAUUUUUAGGGUAUAGUUCUCAACAUAAAGGCUAUCACUGCCUCACACCAGAUGGUAAGGCCAUUGUCUCUUAUCAUGUUGUGUUUGAUGAACGUCGAUUUCUCUUUUUUUUUAUGUUGCAAACACCGUCCAGUCAGGUCCAUGUAUCUCUACAUAUGUUCCUAUUGCUCAGUCUUCAUCUGCCGCGCCACGGCAUCCUCGCUUGUUCAGCCCAUUAAGUCCUCUUGACUCUUACUCCUAAUUGUAGUUCCAAGACGUCUAUUUCAGUUGACUCUCCGACUGAAUUGGGUUCUACUCAUGAGGUGCACCGGCUCUUCACCUCAUCUCCUGAAUCACGUCAAUGCGACUCUACUACAAUUCCCUCGGUUAUUCCAUCUAUUUUUCUAGAGAAUACUCAUAACAUGAUUACUCGGUCUAAGGCUAGUAUUUCUAAACCCAAAGCUUUCUCUGUUGAAACUGUCGACUAUGAGCCACACACGAUUGAUGAGGCACUCGCUAGUAAGGAAUGGCAAUUAGUUGUCCAAGCUGAGUUUGUUGCUCUAAUGGCUAACUCUACCUGGGAGCUUGUUCCCUUACUUCAUUGUCGAAAAGUGAUUGGGUGUAAGUGGCUUUUUAAAAUAAAAAAAAUCCUGAUGGGGCUAUCACUUGGCACAAGGCUCAGCUGGUAGCAAUGGGUUGUUCUUAGGUACCUGGGUGUGAUUUCAAAGAAACCUUUAGUCUAAUGGUUACACCUACUACUAUUAGAAAAAUAUUGUCUAUUUCUGUUUCCAAUGGGUGAAAACUUCGUCAAAUCGAUGUGAAUAAUACCUUUUAAGAUGGUGAUCUCACUGACGAAGUGUUUAUGCAACAACCUUCAGGCUAUGUUCAGAUUGGUCCAUAUCGUGAGCUAUUGGUGUGUCGUCUGAAAAAGGAGUUGUAUGGAUUACGACAAGCUCCACGUGCCUGGUUUGAUAAAUUGAAACAUUUUUUCUACCAGAUUUGUGUUAUCCAAAUCUGAUGCAUCCCUGUUUGUUCGAGUUACGUACGUAUCCACUAUUUAUGUUCUAAUCUAUGUGGAUGAUAUUACCGUUACUGAAAGUACGACUGACGGUAUAAAUGACUUUAUUCAACAGUUACAUAAUAAGUUUUCCCUUAAAGAUAUGGGAGAUCUUCACUACUUCUUAGGUAUUCAAGUCACUCGGUCAUCCACUAGAAGUCUUCAUUUGUGCCAACGCAAAUACAUCUAGGAUCUGCUUGACAGGAGUUCCUGGGCUAACGUGAAAAGUGUUCACACACUGAUGGUUAGUUCUUUUACAUUGUCUAAAGAUGAGAAAAAUCACCUCGUUGAUCCCACUAAAUAUAGGAGCCUUGCCGGAGCAUUACAAUAUGUGGUCUUAACUCGGCCUAAUAUUGCUUAUGCGGUAAAUCGUGUUUGUCAAUUCAUGCAUAUGCCUACUACGGUACAUUUGGUGGCUUUGAAAAUAAUCUUGCGCUAUUUACGUGGCACUAUUGAUCAUGGGUUAAUUUUUCGUCCGUUCGACAGAUUGUCUUUAGUUGGCUAUGCUGAUUCCAACUGGGGACUGGAUUUUGAUGAUCGUCAGUCAACCAUAGACUAUUGUGUGUAUUUUGGACAUACAUCCAUCUUUUUGUGUUCUAUGAACCAACAAGUUAUUUUUCACUCCACGGCUGAUGCGAAGUAUCGUAGUCUAGCAGUAGCUACCAGUGAUGUUACUUGGUUAGCCUCUCUGUUAACGAAUUUAAAAAUUUGUUCUGCAAAUCCACUUACUAUUUGGUGUGACAAAUCUAGUGCAAUAGUGGUUGCUGCUAAUCCGGUUUUACACUCCAAAUUUAAACAUGGCGAGCUUGAUCUAUUUUUUGUUCGCGAAAAUGUCACUAAUGGUUCUCUCAUUGUUGGCGAAGUUCCGGCAUGUGAUCAGGUUGCUAGUAUUCUCACAAAACCAUUGUCCAUCUCUACUUUUGCUAGGUUUCAUAGUCUGCCUCAAGUCUUACCUCUUGAGAAGCUGGAUGAAGCCGGGUGAAUAUUAGAGUAUAGACUCUAUUAGUCUGUUACCAUUUUGUUAUACAGGCUAGAAUAUUGUUAGUAACCAGUUAGCAGCAAUUAGUCAUAGCAGUUAGUCAUACAAGUAUAAAUUCUAUUUAUGUAUAGUUCAAAGGUAAGCUAAUAAUACCAGAAGAGAUUUAACGUGUUCAUUCUACUUUCUUUGUUAUUCUUCAUAAUACAGUUGUUAACAGGCUUGAUAUCAUCUCUUAGAGAAAACUAGGAGAGAUAAGAGUAAGAGUAUGAGCAAACUAUGGAUAAGGCUCUACCAUAAUACCUUAGAUGCAGUUAAAGUAAGAGUAAGAGCCAACUUGUUUGGCUUGAUAGCAUCCCCUUAUAGAAAAAGCUCUACCGCAUGGCAUUAGAGCAAUAAAAGUAACACUUAAUUUCUUGGUUGAUAGCAUCUCGUAGGGGAAAAAGGUUUACCAUGUGACAUGAAAGUAAUUAAAGUAAGAUUAAGAGCUAACUUGUUUGUCUUAAUCGCAUUGUUUAAGAGAGAUCCAAAUAAAUUUACUCAAAAUAUGUUAAUCAAAUAAUGCAAAUUACAAUGUUUUGUCAAUUUUUCCUUUAAUUGUAACUGGGUUAAAGUUGGUAGUUGUAACUGGUACUAAUAGAAUAGAUUUGGUAGAAAUGGUUGAAAGCAACAUAAGCAAAGAUGACUUUGAUGUCAUUGUAUUGACCACGUGGGAACUAUAGAAUGUAGAGAAUAGUAUGGUGAUUGGCAUCAGAAUGUUGCUAACUUUGAGGACAGUAGAUAAGGAUGGAUCCAAAGGGGCUGUGGGCGGCCCCCUUGAAAUUUUCAAAUUUUUGAAUUUAUAUAUAAAUUAUCAUGUAUUUUAGAUUUGGUGUCCACAUUGUAUAACAUUCACCCCCUUUGCCAAAUUGUAUUUCAUAUCAUUCGCCCCCUUAAACCAUAAGGUUAUACUUUAUAUUAACAAAGUAUUUUCCAUUUUUUUUAAUUAUAUAAAUUUAAUAAUAACAAUAAUAAUAAAAUAUUAAUGUAUGAUAGGCAUUGAAAGACUAAACUUAUAGGUCCAAUUUGGACUUUAAAGCCAAAUUCUAUAAUUAAUUAAUUGAUUUGGCUCAUACCUAUACAUAUUAGGUUAGCGACUUUCUUGUAUUUUGAUUUGUAUGUCUUCUUAAGGAAUUAUCUUCCUUUGGUAAAGUGUUGACACUACCAAGAGAAAAAGAAAGGAUUUUGAUGACGAGACUAAGAGUAUAGAGCAAAAAUAUACAAAUUAUCUUCCUCUUGGCUCCUUAUGCAAAAAACCUCUCGGUAAAUUUUUUGCAUAAAUUAUGUUCUUUAUUUAUUUGACUUAUUUUUUUUAUUUUUUCCUAAUAUAUUUUGUUUAAUAUAUUAUUAAAAUCAUCAGGUUUUUCGAUUAAAUAAUGGUCAAUAAAAAGAUCGAAUCUAUUUUUUUAAAAAAAAGGUGUCAGAAAGCAAUAGUGAUCAACCAGUUCCUUAACCUUCUGUUAUUCGUGAAGAAAAACCAAAUAUUGGAUAUUCCCAAGCUCCUGAAUGAAAUAUUAGGUCUUAUCAAGCCCAAACUUUUGAAUGCGAUAUGGAGUCUUCCCCAGUUCUUAAACUAGAUUGUUACACUCCUUACCUGAUCCGAUCACCAAAUCCAUGUAGAGAGUACCACAACUUAAACCAUAUGAAUUGAAUAAUAAAUAUUUGAAAUUUAUUAAAGUAUCGAGUUCUUGGUGUAACCCUCAGUAUAAUAAUAUGAAACAAUCAAAUCAAUGAUACGCCAGGAACAAACAUUUUUAGGAAAAACACAUGGCGGAAACCUUACAAAAGUUUAUAAGUUUAUAUGAAAUGUAAGAUGAGUUAAUCCCAUACAAUAGUUUCAAGUGCAUUUUUGGCAGUUAAAACAACACUCUAAAACUAUUUGGUGUAGAUGCCAAUGAGACAAUCAUGUGGAAUAAGAUAUAGUAGCAUAAACACAUACAUCACUUACCAUGUCAUUAUAACAUAUACUAACCACAUAAACAAAUUUCUCGAGCUGCGAACGAACAAGUUUACCCAAACAUCUGGGGUUGGUAGAUAGCUUAUCAGAAAAGCCCUCCAAAUCCUAGAGUUCACCAAAACCUGGAGUUCGCCAAAUAGAGAUUCCCAUAGAAUACGCCAAACACACAACCAAAAAACAAAUACUCUACUAACUUACUUAUUUUUUAUUCUUAGCAUAAACAACUAUGCGCCAAAAAGUAACUUGAUACAUUAUCCAUCAGGCGGGUUGUUACAAUUCUCCCUCACUUAGAAAAUUUUGUCCUCAAAAUUCUUAACGGUGAAUAACUGAGGAUAUUGUUCUUUUAUUGAACUCUCUCUUUCCCAAGUGGAUUCUUUUUUAUUGUGAUUUCUCCAUAAUACAUUAACAAAAGGAAUUCUUUUUCUUCUCAACUUUUUUACCUCCCUUGCUAAUGCGAACAGGUUCUUCUUCAUAGGAUAUGUUUGGCUCCUUUUCUAAUGCUUUGACUUGUACCACAUGAUCUGGUUUGGAUUGAUAUUUUCUUAACACGAACACAUUAAUCACAUUGUGUAUCUUUGAUAACUCUAGUGGCAACACCAAUCUGUAUGCCACUGGACCAACCAGUUCCAAAAUCUCAUAUGGUCCUACGAAAUGCAGACUUAAUUUCCCUUUUUAUUCUAACCUUAUGAUAUUCUUCCAAAGAGAAAACUUCAUAAAUACAUUGUCACCCACUUCGAAAGAGAUUUCUUUCCUUUUUAGAUCAACAUAAGCUUUCUGACGAUCUUAAGUUACUUUCAGAUGAUUUCAAAUAAUAGAGACUUUCUCUUCUGUUUCUUGUACUAAAUCAAAACCAACUAUUUUCCUUUCACUGAGUUCCAUCCAACAGGUGGGAGAUCUACGCUUUCUUCCAUACAAAGCUUCAAAUGGUGAUAUUUCUAGAUUGGCGUGAUGACUAUAAUUAUACACAAACUUUGGCAAAGAAAGAUAUCUUUCUCAAUUCAUUCUGAAAUCUAUAAUACAACUUCUGAGCAUGUCUUCCAAAACUUGAAUUACUCUUUCAAAUUGUUCACCUGAUUAGGGAUGAAAGGCAGUACUGAAUCAUAUCUUGGUUCCUAACGAUUCUUGUUGUUGUCUUCAAAAUCUUGAUGUAAACAUUAGGUCUCGAUCUAAAACUACGGAUGUUGGAAUCCCAUGAAGACAUACAACUUCAGAAACGCAGAGCUUAGCCAACUUUUCCAAUGAGUAAUUUGUGCGGGCAAACAAGAAAUAGACUGACUUAGUAAGUCGAUCUACAAUUGCGCAAACUGAAUUCUUCUUUGAAAGGCUGAAAGGGAGAGCCAAAACAAAAUCCAUGGUGAUGUUAUCCCACUUCCACUUAGGUAUCUCUAAAGGGUACAACUUGCCUAAGGGAACCUGAUGUUCUGUUUUAAUCCGCUGACAUGUCAAAGAAAUGGAGAUGUACUCUGUUAUUUCUUUCUUCAUUCCAGGUCACCAAUACAAACUUCUCAAAUUACGAUACAUUUUAUGUAAUGCUCUCAACCCGACUCGAUAUGUCGAGUUUGGAUCUCGGGUAUUACUAUACACAGUACUUAGUAAAAUAUCAAAAUAGCUGACAAAUACUCUUUACUAAAAACAUUUUCUUAUUAUUUUAACCGAAAGAGUAAAUAUUUAAUAACAAGGGUAAAUAUUAGAAAUAAAAUAAAUUAUUACAUCAGACUUGGUACAACUGAUUAUAGUAUAAAAUUUUGUUAAAGACAGACUCUUGGGGAAUAACCCUAAUCUAUGCCACUUUUCCACUAUAUACAUAAUAACCCACUUCAGCACUAUCUUGGCAUACUCCUAGCAUCGUCACUCCUAACGCAUUCUCUACCCAUACACCUAAAAACAACAACAUUAUAAGCUCAAGAGAACUUAGUGAAUUUUAUCCCAAAAAUACCUUGGCGAGUACUUUAAUUAUUUGACUAACAUCUGUGCGCCAUCUAUCUUUUUAAACCACCUUCUUCUGAAUCAGACGGAUACUAUUACAGAUUCGACUUUCACUUAUACGCCAGCUAUCAUACUCUUAACACACUCACUUAUUCUAGAACAGUUUUUCACAUAUAUUAAUCAUUGACAGAUACAUACAUUUUUGGUGAAUACUUACGCAGAUCUAAAUACCAUCAAACUACUAAUCAAAUCAUACAUUGAUUCGAUACCAUACAAACUCCCAUUGAUAAUGUACUACACAAUUUAUUCAAAUGAAUUUUCCACUACUUUGUUACAGGACCCCAGAAAAUCAUCAUAACAAUAACUCAAUUUCCAUAUGAUUUCAAAAAAGGAUAUAAUACAACCCAAAUAUGGCGAAUUCCAGACAACUCAGAUUCAACAACUGUAUAACAUAGACAAAAUCACAUUGAUAAUUUCUUAUGUCCCAAAUAACUAUGAAUACGUCCAUAUUCAAUACUAACAGAUAAUCAUGACGGAUACCCUUCUUAUACAUAUAUGCAUUUCUUUUCUAAAAAUCUCUUAAGACUUACUCAGUUAUAUCACAGAUCUUAUUCAACCUUUAACUUCAGACGUAUCAUAAACCUAUCAGAUCAAUAUCUGUCACAAAGAAAUUGGCAUUUACCCAGAUUUUACAAUAAAGGCAGAUAAUCAUAUUAUAGUAGACAAACUUAACUGAAAGUGCUACAAAGGCCAAACAAAAUAUGCCAUAAAGGCUUCAUACAAAAUCAUGUGUUUACUAUCUCGACGGAUGAUACAUGAUAUUCGUGACAGGUUUUAAAAAUUUAUAAUUAAUCGUUCUUUAAAUUAACUAUUAUCACGAUGAAGGCAAGUGUACCUCUCGAACAGUAAUAUAGCUUUAGCAAGACCGGAUGGUCGAACCCAAAGGAACCAAGAGUACUAGUAAUUGCUUUCUUUUUAUUAUCUAGCCUAAAAAUUAAGGGAUUUAUUUAUCUAAUUAAUUAACUAAACUAAGGGUGCACAGAAAGAAAAUUGGGGAAAAGCUUUUGGGAAAACUCGAUUGAUUAAGACAAUACCCAAGAAAAAAUCCACCUAGACUUCACUUAUUAUUUGACUCUAAAUCAGACGAUUUAUUCAUUUGACUUGAUCCGUAGAAAUCCCUAAGUUAUAUUAUUAUCUCUCUUGAGACUAAUAACGUCUAACCCUAGGCUGAUAAUUGAAAUCUCUUUCUAAUUAACACUCUAGUGUUGCAUUAACUCGAUCUAUGGACUCCCUUAUUAGGUUUCACCCUAAUCCAGUAAAAUCUUGUCACCCUAUCUCUAGGCGUGCAAUCAACUCCGCUUAAUUAUGAAAAAUUUACUCUUAGAUAAGGACUUUUGCUCCUCUAAAUAAGCACAUUAACUUGAAUCAAUAUCUUGGAAUACUAAAACAAGAAUUAAGAACACAUAAUUAAGAACAAGUCAAAUAUUUAUCAUACAAUUCAGAAAAUAAUAACAAGAUCCGUCUUAGGUUUCAUUCCCCUUAGGUAUUUUGAGGUUUUAGUUCAUAAUUAUGAAAGAAAACAUCUCAAAAGAAUAAUGAUAACAAAACAUAAAGAAAACCCAAAACUCCUGAAGGAAAUUGAAGGGAGAUCCUCAGUCUUGACGAUGAAUCCGGCUUUUGAAAUGGAUCAAUCGGCUUUCCUUGAGUAAUUCAUUGCCUCCUACUCCCUAUGUAUCUUCUAAGUGCCUCCUCAGGUGUUUAAAUAGGCUUUAUAAUGUCUAAAAGCCCUCAAGAGUGGCCUUUUCUGAAUAGGACUGAACUUGGGCUCGAUAGGGACACGCCCGUGUGACACGCUCGUGUGCAAUUGCUUCAGACCGUAGUCAAGGCUACUAAAUAGGCAUGGGCGUGUGGUCUACCCGUGUGAGGAAGUCCAGGCCGUGUUGAUUUCUGAUGUUGGUCCAUUUUCUUCAUUUUCAGCCCGUUUCUCGCUCUUUUUACUCUCUUAUGCUCACCAAAGUAUAAAACAUGAAAUUAAAGGAUUAGGAGCAUCGAAUUCACCAAAUCUAAGGAGAAUUCAUCCAAAAAUAUGCUAAGCAUGAGGUAAAAAUAUGUAUAAAUUAUGGUUUAUUAAAUACCCCCACACUUAAGCGUUUGCUUGUCCUCUAGCAAAAUCCUCAACUCAAAAUCAAAAUAAAUUCUUCUUAACUUGUAACCCCUAUCAAUAAUAUCUCAAAAUAAACCAUAAGUAAUCAUGUAUUGAGAAUUCAACUAGAAAAGCAUUAAAGUCUCAAACAUUCCAAGUCGAGCAUUUUAUCACGAAAACAUAGGUGUUUCCCCUCAUCUAAGUGAUUACCUUUGAUUCAAAAUAUCACAAAGUUUUAACAUCCUCACUAAAGAUUCACUCAAAUCACUCGAGGUGUUUAAGGAUAAUAAAUGAAGCACUCAUUAGUCAAUAUGAAAAGUUAUUACCAAAGGCUUGUAUGAAAGUCAAAUCUCCACCACUAUAAAUUGAGAUGAUACAUCAAUCAAAAGGUCUUUAGAGGGUUGUAAAGUGGCUUUUGUUAGGGGGUGUAGUCACAAGCUGAAAGAAAGGUUAGAAUCAAGAUUGAAUUGAAAAAUUACCUAACUAGAAAAAUAACUAGUCAUUACUUGAAUACAUGUAAACUUCUUCUCAAAAUAUGAAAUUGAACACUUAAGCUCGAAAACAACGAAUUACUACUAAUAUAUGUAUGUAUUAUAAUUUUUUUUAAGAACAAGUCAAAUAAUAUAGGUUAAUUAUCAAAAAUAAAACAUAGCUAAGUAAUUUAUUCAAAUUAAAUCUCGACAAAAAUUGGGAUCAACUUGAUUGAGGGGAUUUCAACAGUAAUAGGUUAUAGGUUAAUAUUGAGGGUAAAUCAAUGGAUAGUUUGUUAGGCUCAAAGGGGUUCACUAAGGACAAAUUAUGAAGGUAGGCUUUUGUGGAGUGAGUGGGUUAAACCUAAGUGCCUUUAUCAUCUCGACAUAUUAAAUCAAAUGGUGUGGUCUUGACAUGCAUAAUCAAGCAAGUUCUAGAAUAACAAAUCAAUACUGACGCACUCAUAAUAAAAGUGAGCAUGAAAGAAAUAAAAUAUGAUCUAAAAGCUUAAAAUCUCACAAAAAAUUAUGGCUUUUUGAUGUUGAACCUGUGAAUUUCAACUCAAGAUAAUACCUAAACUUGGGGAAACAACCUAAAAAUUUUAAAUACUCAAAAAUCAACUUAUCAUGUCUGAUUUUCUAAUUCCUUCAAAGUUUAAACGGUCAAUGCAUAAAUACCUAUGUUUUAAUUCAAGACAUAUCAAUAAAAAUCAUAAAUUAAUCAAAAUUCAUUCUAAUAAUGAUAUGAGAAGAUUAUUUGAGAACAAGACAAAAUUUAAGGAUUUUUUUGAUAAUGAUAUAAAGGCCCCCCACACUUAAGAUGUACAUUGCCCUCAAUGUACAAAGUUAGAUUUACAACGAUAUAGAUAUAAGAUCAUAAGAUAGGGAGAGAAGUGAAACUUCCUGAAUAAUGAAUGAACUCCUUGAAUUGGAGUUAUGGAGAAUAAUCGGCAAAGGCAAUGAUAAGAUUGGAGGAGGAUACUUCGGUGGUGGUAGAGGUUGGGUUCCACAACCUCAGUGUCCAGCGAAGAAGUUAUCGUGGUGGUCGAGCAAGACAUUACAGUUAUGGAGAACCUUUUCCAGUGGAGUUUCAAGUUUCUAAGUGAUGGUGAGCUUUGGGGCUCUUAGUAACUGUGAUAAAAUCAAGAACUCUUUAAGAAAUGUAAGGAAGCAUAAUUACACGUAAUGAAAUAGCUGAAACUAUAAAUUAUUCAAUAAAAAUUAUAAAACCUAAAAAUGAAAUAAUAUUAAAGGAAAAUAAAAUAAAAAGUACUUAAAAAUGUAAAUAAAAAUAAAAUAUAAAAAGUUUUUAAACAUCGUCAUCGCUGGAUGGUUCGCAAGGUGGUGGUGGUGAUGAGAUGUGAAGGUGCUGACAAAUCUGAUGUAGAGUAGCAUCAAUGUUAUCAAAGCGCUGAAAACACUAUUGCUCAAAUCAAUAAGGCACUCAGAGAUGUCAGAGUAUGAAAUCGCCGCAUGAACUGGACGAUAGAUGGGUUGUGGCUGAAAUGGUGGGUCCUCAUGACGUGGAGGGACAUCAUUAGUAAUUCCUCCGGGUCCUCCUCCUCGGCUGACUGGAUGAGGCGGUACUGAGCAGAAUCGAUUCCAUGUCAUUUCUCGAUCAUCCUCAUAUGUAGCAUGCUUGAAAUACCCUGUGGGGACAUCUGGCCGAUGAGAGUGAGCGAGAAUGAUUGUGCCACUGUGUUAAAGAGUCCAAAGUGCCGAAUCAAUCGAGUCACAUAGGGGCCAAUAGAGAUGACUCCCUUCCUAUGCCGUUCCGUCUGAUGGCGAAUGGCGAAGGCAAUGAAAUAGGCGAGGUCGAAGAUGUGCCCAUUCGCCAUGCUCCAUAAAAAGUAGGCAUCGUGAGUGUUGACAAUGCCGGUGCUCUCUUGUCUUCCUGUCAGAGUGUGGGCCAAGAGGGCGUGUAGGUACCUCAAGGAUGGAGGGAGAGUUGAUGUUUUGGAACGGUUAGGGUCGUAGGUGGCCGAGGGAGGGACGAGGGCCUCCAGCACUUCGAGUGAGAGUAAUGGAUGUGGCGAUGAAGGAUGUCGAGUUCGUUGUAGUCCAUGAACUCCUCCGUAUACAGCCCUAGUACAAUUUUGAACUCCGGUACGCUCAAUUGGCACACUAAACCACCAAGACGAAACUGGACCGUUGUAGGAUCGUCGAACUCUGUCAUAACGGUUUGGAAGUGAAAGGUCGAAUAGAGUUCCAGUGUGAGCUUAAGGUAUAUCGGCUUGAUGAUCCCAAAGAAGAGCUCCCAUGGAUCAGUCGACAGAAGGGCUCUGACCGCGUCAACCAGUUGGACUUGUUCAAGUGCGGCCCAUUCAAUGCAGCGGCCCACACCUAAGGGUCAGGCCCGAAGUAUCUAAAAGAGUUCUUCCUAAGGUCCUAAGGGAAACUAAAUAAAGGGGUGCCUGAUCUCCACGGUAGGACCCAAGGAUGACACUGCUCAUUUCCUUUUCUUUGAAGCGGGGACAGCGAUUUUCUUACCAUGGUUUGACAUGAUAUCUGCAAUGGCAAGACGAAAAAAAUAAUAAAUAAAAAAGUAAACUUACUCUCCAACAAUAACAUGAAAAAACAUAUGCAAUGCAUGUUAAAACUAAUAGAGAUACUUUAUAGGAGUCAUGUACUAAAGAACAACUACGCUGAAAAAUAACCCAAUCAGAUAUAUUAAGUCAUUACUACGAAUAGGAAUAUGAUAAUAAUGCCUAGUGAAUGAAUGCAUAUGGAAAUGAUGAUAUGGAAAAUAGAAUGAAGUCCAUGGCAACACAAGAAUGGUGGUAUCAUAAUGCAUCAACUAAGAUAGCAAGAAACAAAGAGCAUAAGCAAGGCUAUUAUUAGAACUAUGAAGAUUAACAGUCAAAAUAAAACAAGAAAAAUCGAAUUCAUAAACGAAAUGAAGAGAAAAGAAUGGACAAACGCAAAAGCUUGGUAGAGGGAGGAGCUUGGGCCGUCGUUAGUGGUGUUGUGGUUGGCGCACGGGCGUGGCAGGAAGGCGUGGGCAAGAGUUACGGCGGCUACAGUUAGGGAUUUUGGGGAAGGGGAUGAUGAAUAUAAGGGGUUUAUUCAACUCGUGUUUAUCGCGAUUUUUAAAUUUGGGCACGUCUGAAAUUCGUCCCACGCCGAUGUCCUUUGGGCGUGUUGGUGCACAUGGCCGUGUCGUACGGUCGUGUCCUACUUCGUUCACUUCUCCCACGCUCGUGUGUAUAAGCACACGCCCGUGUUGUUUGAUCAGUCUUGAGCACGGUUGGUGGGCACGGGCGUGUCGCACACUUGUGCUAAAUUCUCAGUUUCAACCACGAUUUCAAGACACGGGCGUGUCACACGCCCGUGUUGAUUUGAAAGACUCACCCACGGCCACGUUACACAGCCGUGGCAACUUAUCACAUCUCGUGUUAAGCAAAAAUUUUUCCCUGUUUCCACACGGUCGUGUCGCAAGGCCGUGUCUCCUCCCGUAGUGUGAGCACGGCCUAAGGCACACCUGUGUGCCUCACCGUGUGAAUUAGAAAACCAGUAUUUCAAUGACUCAGUUAGUGAUUAGAUGUUAAAAACUAAAAUUUUAAAGAAGGUAACACUAUUAGUGCUCGGGUUACCUCGCGAAAAGCAUUUAUUUAUAGUCUAAGCUCGACUUACCUCUCUGUUGCAUAGUCAUGGUAGUGCAAGGAGUUUACACUCCUCAUCCCUGCUAUCAAUUUUAUCAAAAUAAGGUUUUAGACAAGUACUAUUUACCUUAAACGUACCGAAUUUGGGAUGAAUUACCUCGACUGUGCCGUAUGGGAAAAUACUAAGUACCGUAAGAGGGAUUUCUCCAUUAGGUUCAAAGGUGGCAAUCCGAAGGUCUGCUGCAUCUAAUAGUACUUUGUUUCCAACCUUAAGUUGAGUUGGAGAAAUAUUGAGCUCGUCAUGGCAUGGUUUUUUUUAUCGUGUGAUUUCGAUUUCUGUGUCUGCCAUUCAUCUAGUUCCUCAACCUGUAGCCUUGUUCUUCAUAGAUGGGUUCUUUGUCGUUAUUUGAAUGUGGCUCAAGUGUGUUUCUCGAAUGUGUUUCCUGCACAGAGGGUUUCACCACAUGAUCAGUACUGAUAGAAUUUCGAGCUUGAGGAGUAAUUGAUUCAUCACCCAUACGAAGUGUGAGUUUACUUGUGCCAACAUCAAUUAUAGUUUUAGCAGUUGCUAGAAAGGACCGUCUUAAAAUUAAAGGUGCGUCGCUAUCCUCUUCUAUGUCUAGAACAACAAAAUCAAUUGGGAAAAUAAAUUUAUCGAUUUUUACCAAUACAUCUUCAAUGAUACCCCUGGGAAAUCUAAUAGUUUUAUCAGCUAACUGAAUACUCAUCCUAGUUUGUUUAGGUUUCCCAAUACCUAGUUGUUUAAACAUUUUAUAAGGCAUGAAAUUGAUACUAGCCCCUAAAUCAGCCAAAGCGUUAUUAACAUCUAAGCUACCAAUUAAAUAAGGAAUCGUAAAACUCCUUGGAUCUUUCAAUUUGUUGGCCAUGAUGUCUCGUUGAGAGCACCAAAAAUAUCCUAUUCUCUGUAAAAUAGUAAAAAUAACAGUAAAAGGGAAGUAGGGUCGAAUCCUCAGGGACCGGAUUGUACAAAUGCUCGUUUCUUGAAAUCCUGGACAAUUUCUUGGCCAAGAAAACCUGCGUUCCUGAAAAAUAAAAAAAAUAAAAUUAAGAAUCUGGAAAAAAAAAUAGAAUUUAAAGGGAAUUGAAAUUGCGAAAUUAAAUAAAUUGUCGAAAUUAAAAUGAGGAAAAAUAAAUAGAGUUGGGAAAAGAGAAAGUUUCUUAUGUGGCGAGAUUCCAGGCUCCGGUUGUCUCGUUCCGCCUUGGGUUCAAUCCUUGGCCUUUAAGUAACCCUUCCCAACUCAAGUAAGCCAGUUAUAGUGGAAGAGGAUGCCUACGACCACCAGCUCCAAAGAUUAGACUUACGAUUUUUAGGGAACCUGACUCUAACCAGUAAUCUAUGCUAGAUCAACGCUUCUCAAUGGCGAAUCCCAAGUCAUUUUGUCUCUUUGGCUCGCCAACCUUUGACGCAGUAAAUUAACAAACCGACUGUGCAAUCCUUUCAAAACAUACAAAGCGGUCGCCUUUGCAUAUGCUGAAAAGCUUACUUCUUAAGGGCCAUGGACGGAAGCGUCAGCCCGUAGUGCGGAGAAACGAUGAAUACUUGGCGAGAAGGCUAAGUACGGGUUCUAGGCCUCAAAAACCCUUUUUUGGGGAAUAUUGACAACCUUCAGCUAGAUAGGUUUUAAUGGCUCAUGAUAAUGGUGGAAAAGGAAAUAAAUAUAAAAAUAGAAAAUAAAAUUUUAUUCAAAGAAAAUAUGAAGAAACAAAAGCCUAGACUUUUAGGGGGAGAGUGUUUAUAGAAAAAGAUGAACACCCCAAAUAGAGUCACUUCACCCCCUAUUUAUAGUGCUAGGGAGAUAAUCUAAUUUAACUUAAAUUCUAAAAAGAUAAAUACAUUUAAUUAAAGAUAAUUAAAAUAAAAUCCUAAAAUUAAAUAAUCCUAAUAAUUAUCUUAAUAAUAAUUAUUCUAAUAUAAAUAAAAUGGAGUCUUAUAAAAUAAAAUCUCUUCUUUUUGAGUUUUCAGUCCUUGUGUCAUCCAUGCUCGCACUUUUGGAACAAUCUUUUUCCUGUGUCGCAUAUCAGCCCAUUGUGUCUCCAAAUUCGCACUUUUGUCCCUUAAUUUUUCUUUUUGCCUCCAAAUCAGUCCUUUAAAGAUAAAAAGACAUAAAUAGCUAAAAUUAGUAUGAUCAAGCUCAGAAUAAAUAUAUAAUUAGCACAUAAAAACAUGACAUUCUAGAGUGUUAUCAGGCCAGCUUAUUUUGCAGAAUGGCUGAGCAAACUGCAUUCAUCUCCACAUGCGAUGCCUCAUCUAACUUCCGUUUAUUCGCUAAAAGCUCCUUUAAAAAUUUGACUGUGUUCAGCAUCUACGAAAAAGCUUCAAUAAACGGUAAGUUAAUAUGUAAUUUCUUUAAAAUUUUAAGGAAUUUACCGAAUUGUUCGUCUGAGUGGUCUUUCCUUGUCGUAUUUGGGUAUAGUACACGUGGUUUGUACUCUUUACUUACCUGUUUUUGCUCAUUAUGGUCCACCUUACCUCUACCUUUACUUACCACAAUUUCUUGCCUUAGUUCUGGUUGAGGUGCAACUAACCCUUCCUCAUCUUGAAUGGUAAUCGCAUUGAGCUAUUCCCUUGGAUUAGAUUUAGUGUUACUCAACAGGCUACCUUGUGGUCGUUCAGAUACCAAUUUAGCAAGCUGGCUUAUCUGAGUUUUGAGCCCUUGAAUCGACACUUGUUGAUUCUUAAGUGCUUUCUUGGUAUUCUAAAAACAAGUUUCUAACACUGAGAUGAAUUUUGUUAGCAUCUCCUCAAGGUUCAGCUUUUUCUCUUGUUGGUAAGGUGGUUGUUGGAAGCCUGGAGGUGGUGGGGGUCUCUGAUUUCCUUGGCCUCCCCAUGAAAAAUUUGGAUGGUUCCUCCAACCUGCAUUUUAAGUGUUACUAUAAGGAUUAUUUUAAGAUCGAGGAUUAUUACCCAUGUAAUUCAACUGCUCAUUUUCCAUACUGUGGCCAUAAGGUGGGUAUUCUGAAUUGCUUGAUCCACCUCUACUUGCUUCGCACUGCAUUACUAGGUGAACCUGUGAAUAACCAAAUAACCCGUCAAUUUUCUUAUUUAAUAGUUCUACCUGACUAGAGAGCAUCAUGACUAAAUCAACGUUAAAAACGUCAGUUGUUUUAGUCGGCUUUGUCCUCAUUACUUGCCACUGAUAAUUAUUCAGUGAGAUCUCUUCUAUAAAUUCAUAAGCAUCUUCAGAUGUCCUAUUAUUGAUAGUCCCACCAGCGGAUGCAUCGAUAAGUUGCCUUGUUGAGGGGUUUACACCGUUGUAAAACGUCUGAACUUGCUGCCAUAGAGGCAACCCAUGAUGAGGGCACCUUCUCAACAGAUCUUUGUAUCUCUCCCAUGCAUCAUAAAGCGUUUUUAGAUUCAUCUGCAUAAAAGAAGAGAUAUCACUACGUAAUUUAGUCAUUUUAGCCGACGGAAAAUAUUUUAAUAAGAAUUUUUUAUUGUCAUUUGUUCCCAAGUAGUGAUUGACACUCGUGGUAACGAGUUCAACCACUGUUUAGAUUUGUUCCUCAAUGAAAAGGGAAAUAACCGAAGACGAAUGGAAUCAUCAGAAAUGCCAUUAAUUUUAAAUGUGUCGCAAAACUCUAGAAAAUUUGCCAAGUGAUUGUUCCUCAUCCUGCAAACUAUCAAACUAAACAAAUUGUUGUAUCAUUUGAAUUGUGUUAGGUUUUAGUUCAAAAUUAUUUGCAGCAACAGCUGGCCUAACUAUACUUGACUCAGUUCCUCUUAAAGUAGGUUUAGCAUAAUCAUACAUAGUACGCGGAGUAGGAUUCUGAUUAGCAGCAAUCGCAAGAGGUAGCGGAUUUUCCUGAUUUUCAGUCAUCUCCUCAGUUGUGGUGGAAAUAUCGUCCUCUUGCUCUUUCUCUGUGUAUCUUAGGCUUUGCCUUAUUUCUCUUCGAUUUCUGUGAGCUGUGCGAUCGAUCUCACUAUCAAAAAGUAAUGGUCCUGACGGGUUUCUUCUAGUCAUGCACUAUAAAAACUUGCCAUAAGCGAAUAAACGAAAAAUAAGAAUAAGAAAAUAAAAUAAAAAUUCAAAUUGCAACAAAAGUAAAAUGGCUAAAGUAAUAAAAAUUGAGUGUUCCUAAUAUCUUCGUUCCCCGGCAACAGCGCCAAAAACUUGAUACGUGAUAUUCGCGACAGGUUUUAAAAAUUUAUAAUUAAUCAUUCUUGAAACUAACUAUUAUCACGAUGAAGCCAAAUGUACCUAUCGAACAGCAAUAUAGCUUUAGCAAGACCGGAUUGUCAAACCUAAAGGAACCAAGAGUAUUAGUAAUUGCUUUCUUUUUAUUAUCUAGCCUAAAAAUUAAGGGAUUUGUUUAUCUAACUAAUUAACUAAACUAAGGGUGCACAGAAAGAAAAUUGGGGAAAAGCUUUUGGGAAAACUCAAUUGAUUAAGACAAUACCCAAGGAAAAAUCCACCUAGACUUCACUUGUUAUUUGACUCUGAAUCAGACGAUUUAUUCAUUUGACUUGAUCCGUAGAAAUCCCUAAGUUAUAUUAUUAUCUCUCUCGAGACUGAUAACGUCUAACCCUAGGUUGAUUAAUUGAAAUCUCUUUCUAAUUAACACCCUAGUGUUGCAUUAACUCGAUCUAUGGACUCCCUUAUUAGGUUUCACCCUAAUCCGGCAAAAUCUUGUCACCCUAUCUCUAAGCGUGCAAUCAACUCCGCUUAAUUAUGAAAAAUUUACUCUUAGACAGGGACUUUUGCUCCUCUGAAUAAGGGCAUUAACUUGAAUCAAUAUCUUGGAAGAUUAAACCAAGAAUUAAGAACACAUAAUUAAGAAUAAGUCAAAUAUUUAUCAUACAAUUCAGAUAAUAAUAACAAGAUCCGUCUUAGGUUUCAUUCCCCUUAGGUAUUUAGGGGUUUUAGUUCAUAAUUAUGAAAGAAAACAUCUCAAAAGAAAAAUGAUAACAAAAUAUAAAGAAAACCCAAAACUCCUGAAGGAAAUUGAAGGAGAUCCUCAGUCUUGACGAAUAAUCCAGAUUUUGAGAUGGAUCAAUUGGCUUUGCUUGAGUAAUUCAUUGCCUCCUACUCCCUGUGUGUCUUCUAAGUGCCUCCCCAGGUGUUUAAAUAGGCUUUAGAAUGCCUAAAAGCCCUCAAGAGUGGCCUUUUUCGAAUAAUACUGAACUUGGGCUCGACAGGGACACGCUUGUGUGACACGCCCGUGUGCGAUUGCUUCAGACCAUGGUCAAGGCUGUUAAAUAGGCACGGGCGUAUGGUCUAUCUGUGUGAGGAAGUCCAGGCCUUGUUAAUUUCCCAUGUUGGUCUAUUUUCUUCGUUUUCGGCCCAUUUCUUAUGCUCACCUAAGUAUAAAACAUGAAAUUAAAGGAUUAGGAGUAUCGAAUUCACCAAAUCUAAUGAUAAUUCAUCCAAAAAUAUGCUAAGCAUGAGGUAAGAAUAUGUAUAAAUUAUGGUUUAUCAAUGGACUAUCACAGAAGGUGUCAUAGGUUUCUCCAACAUGGGCUUAUACAUAAUUUCAUGUAUUGUGAUCUGCCAUUUCAAAUUAUACAUUAUCGAAGGCUACACCAUAAGCAUAUAUACAGACAUAUCUUGCAAUGGGUCUUAGCCAUAUAGCUUACACACACAUUCAUGUAUUGUAAUCUGCCAAUCCAAUCUUCAUCUUAUUAGAGGCUACACCAUGAGUGUUUCCAAAUCAAAGUAAGAUGUCAUGGGUCUCAACCUUAUAGUUUAUUCUUGUUUUCGUAUCGUGAUCUGCCAGUCUAGUUAGCAAUAUAACUGCCCUACCAGAGGCAUCAUAGAGGAAAAUUUGCUCAGCAUUUACUUCCCUAGAUGAUCACCUUUUUACUAGCUCAUACAUCUCCUACAUCAGACCUUACCUGCAUGCUUACCAAACAUUAUUCUUUUUAAUAGAAUUUAUACAUAUCAUCGUAGCACAUCUUUCAUCUUUGCUAAACUCAUAUUUAUACUAAUUUCUGUAGACAUCAUCAUCACAUAUAUAUAUGCUUCUUGUUUGAACAGUUCAUAUCAAAAAGUCAGGAUAGAGACCCACUUAACUCUCAUCUAUUGCAGUUCAAAGUUCUGGACUCAACCACCCUUCUCAAACCAACAGUAAAAACUGCUUACAAAACAUAGAAUCACCAUUAAAACUCAUUUACAUACAAAUUACCAUCAUCUUAAUCACUUUUCCGCUGCUAAUUAAUAAAUAAAUGUUGAGUAGUAAAUAAAUAAAAAAUUAACUAAGUUUUCAAAAAAAAAAAGUCACUGUGAUGAGAAGAAUAAGUUUUCAAAAACAAAAGUCACCGUGAUGAGAAGAAUGUCAAAAUUAAUUGGUUUUUGUUAACUCAUAUGUUUUUCUAAAAAUAGGUUAAGUUUUCUUCUGAAAUAAACAAAUAUUUUGAAAUGAUUGUUUUAUAAACUCCAAUCAUAGGCCAUCUUAGUGGUCGAUGUAAUCUCCCAAAUUCGGUUCUAACAUCUAGGUUGGGUUGGAGAGGUUACAAUAUAUAUAGAAGGAUUCAUCAAUAAUGGAAACUUGAAUACAAGCAAAGAAAGAAAUCAAUCAAUGUGAAUUACUAACAAGUUCAAAAGCAUAUAUUUGGAUUAUAUUUUGUAAAGUACAAGAAUGUCAAGGAAUUAGACAUUUUGUUUUGAUAGUGAUUAUAUUUUAUAUAUAUUUACUUUUAUGCACUUUCAUAUUGAGUUGAUCAACAGUUUUGAAACUUUAUAGAAAACUUCAAGGUAUCACUUGUUGCGUAAGUGAUAUUUUACUAAGGGUGCAUAAUUGGAGGCCUCCUAGAUAUGUGAAAAUAAUGUUUAAAAAUCCAUCAAAUAGUAAAAACAUAAAUGAAAUAGCAUAUUGAUAUAUAUGGUAUCUUGAGUGUUGAAUUAAACAUUCUUUAGUAAAAGAAUGUACAUUUUGCACAUUGUGGGUGUGUUGGUUUCUUAUAUAUCAAUUAAGCACAAAUUAAAGAAAAAUAAUAUAUAUCACCAUAGUGUUGUAAUAUUUUGUAAAAUUUGUAAAAUUAUAUAAGCAAAAAAGUUUACCUAUCUCGUUAAAUAAAACUCAUUGAGUUGGUUCUUAAUAUUGAAGAAUUAGAGUGGUUGACUUCUUUAUUCAUUUUAUCCAACUACAAGUUGGAUUAAAGUUGUGGAAAUAGAAUGGUUGAAAAUUUGUGUUAAUGAGAAUUAAAGUUGUGGCCACAACUGAUGCCGACUAUUUUCUAGAAACAGGGACUGAUGUCCAAAACAUGUAGUAAAAUAAAAUUUUAGACAUGUUAGCAUAUGAAUUUAUUAUAUUAUAGAUUCAAUGUAACACCCCUAUCCUAUCUCUGUUGCUGGAUUAGGAUUUCAGACUAUUACUAAGAAAAAUAGAACAUUUAACUUUCCAACAGAAACAAUUAUACAAUUAAAUACCAACAUAUAUCAAUUAAAUCUAAUCAUGGCAAAUAUUACACUUAUAGACCUUGAAUCGAGCCUAUGGAGCCCUAGAAAAAAUUUAGGAACAAUUUGGGAUCAAAUCGAAACAAAUCAAAACAUUUUGAAAAAAAUAUAAAAAUUUGGGAAAACAGGGGUCACACGGUUGUAUGGCCAAGUCGUGUGACAAAGCCUACACCGCGUAAACAUUAGAAGUCAAAACACUCAACUGUGUCCCAGCCUGUGUGUCUACUCAUGUGUAUAAUCGAAAUAGGGUCACACAGCUGUGCUGCAGACUGUAAACCGUGUGUGUAUUCGAAGUUAGGUCACACGACCAUGUGACCGACCGUGCCACAAACUGUUUUGAGACACACGGUCGUGUCACAGACCAUGUGAAAUAUGCACCUAAAAUAAUAAAUAUACACGACCAUGUGUGGUGACUAUGUGUGGCACAUGGUCGUGUGGUAGCUUGUGUCUCAGGCUGUGUGCUCCAUUUUUAACCCCUAAAUUAAGUUAAUCAAGCAUCAUUUCUUGCACAGCAAGACAUACCAUAUCUAACUAAUUUUACAUGGUAAAAAUCACAUUCAGAUCACCAAAUACAUACCAAAAUUUCAUUCAUCCUAUGUCUAACCAAUAUACCAUCAAAAGGCAUCUCAAUCCAUACAUUCAUUCAACUCAAGAACAAAGUUACAAUAAAGGAACAAGUUUUAUCAUUAGUUAACCAUUCAUGCCUAAAACCACCAAUCUAAUUGACGAAAAUAUGGGCAUACUCAACAAGCAACCAUUUCAAAACAUCAUCACCAAAUCUUUAUAUACCAUUUAGGAUCAACUUAAUUAUAUCCAACACAAGUACACAUCCAAAACAAAGCACAUCACUAGAAAUACCAAAAUAACUUAACGAUUUACACAUCAACAAUAAGACACCACAUCCCAAAAUGAAAUACAAAAGCUACCGAGAUGGCUGGAUAGUGUGUGCUCCAAAACAAUUCGUCUAGUCAGUCCAUAAAACGCCAACUCAACCAAUAUAGAUAAACAAAAAAGAUAAGUUCUAAUUCUUGAUAUUCAAAUGCAAGAUCACACCACAUUAGUAUAUAUUUAUUUACAUCAUAAAUGAUACCUUCCAAAAGUCAUAACCAAUUCAUCAUCCAAAAUUUCUCAAUACAACCAUUAACAUUUAUAAAACAAAAACUUCAUAGAAACAUUUAUCAUUUAGUAGUAAUAUAACUAUCCAACAAAAUUGAACAAAUAAAUGAGUUUUAAGUCAUUUGAUGCAUAUCCCGCUGAACUAUAGUAACUAGACUCGGAUACUCAAUGAUGCAUAACAGAGGCACCAAAGUGCAAACAGAGGAAGGAAUAUGCAAUCAAAGGCAUUGAAGUGCAAACAAAUGCACCAAAGUGCAAACCCGUACAAGCGCACAUUAAAACCCUAUUGGCAUACUAAUCGUAUCCUAAUCAUUUACUAUGUUCAAUGGGGCAUUAAGAAUGGGGCAUUAUACUUAAAAUCGCAAUACCAAUAAAUCCAUCAUUUAGAGGCACUUCUUAUUUCCGUACACAUAAUAACAAUAAUUACCAUCAUCAAACAUUCAUUUUAUAUUUGUACUUAAUUACAAAUUUUAAUAAUAUAUAAGUAACUAAUGAAAUUUCCCAUAUAUACCAUUAACUAGAAAAAAAUAAUAUAAUCAUAAAGAGAUACACAUAUACAUAUUAUUACAUUAUGAACUUACCUGCAAUCCACUUCCAAAUAAUAUACAGGGACUACUCCGCAAUUUUUCUCUUUCCUCGAUUAUUGUCUUUUUGACUCGGUUCUUGAUCUAUAUAAUAAUUAAAUUUAAUUUAUUAAAUUUACAUAAUUUAAAAAUCAAUUCAAUGCAUGACACCCUUAUGUUUUCAUUAUUUUCACAUUUUCCUUAAACUUUUACAUUUCUCACAAUUUAGUCCCUAAACCCGAAAUUCCAAAAUUUAACAAAAUUUUACAAUUUUCCAUGCUAGCCGAACUUCUUUCUAAACUAGUACAAUCCCCAAUUAUUUACAAUUCACAAAAUUUCUAUGCAAAUUUUAAUUAUUUACACAUUGAUCAUUAAACUCAAAAUUAACACAAAUUCUUUUACAAAAAUAUCCUAAUCAACAUUCAAAUAUAUACAACUACCAUUAAAAAUCAUGAACACCAAAAUUCCAUUACUAACCAAUCCCUAAAACUUCAACAUUUUUAUAAUUUCAUCCUCAGGUUUAAUAGUUUAAGCUACAACGAGUUCAAAAAAUAUAAAAAUUAUUAAAUAUGUGAGAGAGAAACACUUACAUGCACCAAUUUGCUAACCGAAACUUUAAGCUCAAAAAAUGGAGUUUCUUUUUUUCUUUUUCUUUUUUGGUAGGAGAGAGUUGAGAAGAUGAUGAUACCAUAUUUUAUCUUUUGUUUCUUUUCUUUAAUUAAACUAAUUACCAAAUUAACCUUUUAAUCUGAACUAAAUUAUUAACAUAACAUGACCAUAAUUUUCCAUUAACUAACCAUAAGGUUUAUCUAUCAAUCAAGUCCAUUAUUUUAGUUUUUCUUUAAAAAUCAAGCACAUUUAACUAAUAAAAGCUACUUUAGCAUAUUUUACAAUUUAGUCUUUUUUACUAAAUUAACUAACUAGACAUUAAAAUUUCUUAUCCAAAUUUUAAUACGACUCAAAUAUAACUCUAUAAACAUAAAAUAAACAUAAAAUACUAACUCACUUGUUGGAAUUAUGGUCCUGAAAUAACCAUUUUCGAUACUACUGAAAAAUGGGAUAUUACAUUCAAUCUCUAAUUUAUGCUAAUGAAUGUGAGAGAAUAAUUUUCUUUGUAUAGUAAUACUACAACUAGAAUGUGUUUCGAUCCUAUUCUUAGAAACUGAUAGUAGAAACCCAACUUUUAAUUAGAAACCUCUUGUUUUAAAGUUCAAUGGGUAAAAGCAAGUUAUCGUUAUAUGUCUGUGAUACACUAGUAAAACUCAUUAUAGAAAAAAAAAGUUUAAUGGAAACUAGUGUUAUCCAUUGCGUAUAGAGGAUGAAUUUGAAUACUAUUAAUGAAGUUCAUUGUUUAUUGUUUAAAUGUCUAAAGCAAGGGAAACAUUAAAAGAACUCUACCUAUAUAAACAUAAGAAGUGAUGCCACUUCAACAAGUAAAGGUAGGGUCUCUCUUGUAAAUGUUUAUUAUGAACAAGAUAAGCACAUGAUCAUUUUAGUGCUAAAAGUGAACAACCUCUGAUAGAAAUAUAAAUGAAUAUUAUGUGUAGUGUAUUUCAACUUCUAAUACUAGGAGUUGUGGUUCAAUCUUCGGACACCAACGACUUAUUAGAACUUUGAAAAGCAUCCGCUAAUUGAUGGUUCAUAUUGAGAGAUAUCAUCUUAUAUGCAUAAUAUUUGUUGGAGUGAAUGGCUAUAAAGUAUGGUACCAACAUUUAAACUAAGGGUGAUUGUUAGUAGUUUAUAAUGUUGGCAGUAAAAAUAUUUUAUUAUGUAGAAAAGUCUAAUAACUUAUAAUUAUUGGCCAAAUAAUUGUGUUGUAAAGAGAAUUUUUGUAUGUAAAGUUGUCUUAUAAACUUUAUGUAAAGUUGUGUUGUAAAACAACACAAUUAUAUGAAAAGGUAUCUUAUUAAAAGAUAUAUUCAUAUUAAAGGGUAUCUCAUAAAAGAUACAUCUAUUGGAUGUCUAUAUAAAAGACUUUUCUAUUAGUCAUUUAAAUUGUUUUACUUGGAGUGUUGAGGCCUUUAUUGUAUCUUGAAGGUAUUUUAAAAUCUUAAAGAAAGUGCUCUACAUGCCUCAAAGUCGUUAUAUUUUAUAACAUUAUUUUAUUUUUCUAACUUCUAUUUUCCUAUUAUUUAUUUUUCUAACAGCCAGAAUAUAGAAAAAUUAUUAUGUUUCUAACUAUAUAUUAAAUACGAGUACUACUUGGAAGCCAGCACCCACAAACAUGAUAAAAGUUAAUUUUGAUGAGAGUUUUGACGUGGAAGCAAGAAAUGAGGAAGAGGGUAGUUAUGCAGCAUUGUGAUGGUUUUUUAGUCCGACUACGCAACCAUCCAAUUUAGGGUGCGUUCUACAUUAAGGUGAAAAAGCACUUAAAAAGAACAUUUGGUUUUUACACUUAAAAGUGUGAUGGAAAAAUACUUUUUCAUUCAAAUACAAAAAUUAAGAUAUAAAUGCUUUUGACUUUUAGCUUUUACAUUAGAAUGUGAAAAUUAUCAAAUACUAUUAUUUAUAUUAACUAUUUAAAGUGUAUAUAAAAAUUAGAUUAAUUUAUAUUUUAUAUAUCAUUAUAUUAAAUUAUUUAAAUAUUAUUUAUUAUUAUAUCUUUUAAUAAUUUAUAUAUCAUCUAUUUUACAAAUAAUUUAUAUUAAUUACUUCAAAAAUAUUUGGAACUUAUAUUUCAUGUACCAUUAUAUUAAAUUAUUUAAAUAUUACAUAACUUAAAAUGUCCUUUUCUUUAGACAUGAUAGACUUUUAACGGGAAUUUUUUGUAGUAACGGAGAACACCAAAAACUAAUGAGUACAUUUUUUCAUAGCACUUUUCUACCACUUUUCAACUACAACGGUAAUGGAGAACUAAUCCUUACUAAAGUUACCGAAGCACUAGCUUCCACUGUAGCCAUUGAAAUGGGGCUCCAAUUGGGAUUGCAACACAUUAUUAUUAAAAGAGAUGCUCUCUAAGUGGUUUCGAAGUUGAAGGAAGACAAAGAAGACCUACCAACAAUCGGACCUUGAUAGCAAAGAGUUGAAUACUUGCUAAACAGGUUCAGCAAUGUAGGUUUCAACAAAGAAAGAGGCAUGCUAAUGAGGUGGCACAUCAUCUGGCCAAACAGGGUGCAAUGCCCAAUUUCUGCCCGGGCCUAAUCAAAACAGCCCAAAGCAGAAAGCCCAAUUUUUCUAGACCUAGCCCACAACUAUUUUCAGCACCACCAUGCACCCAUUUUCUCCACCACUCUUCCACUCCAGAACACCCACGAACGGUUUCCCUCCAUGCCAUACAUACCUGCAAAAUAGAUUAAUGACUCAUAGCAGUUGACAGUAGAAAGAAAUAACAACAGGAAACGGUUUUGUACUUGGCUAUAAAGCCUUUGAAUUUUUCAUUGUUUGGUUUUUUUUUCUUUCUUUUUUUUUUCAGAGAGAUUGUACACGAAAUACAUACAAAAAUCAAUAGAAAGCAAUUCAAAGGUGAUUUAUCGCUAUUUAUUGUGUUUUUUUUUUCAAUUGGGUUUACAUACAAGUAUAAAAUAUAAGAGAGAACGAGAGGCUUACCGGAGUUAUAUCGCAUUCACGCCGUCGGUAGGACUAGCUCCGUUGGUCACGAACAGAUUUUGGGAGUGGUUGGGGGCUUGAAAGGAGCCUUUCGGCUGGAGAAUAAAGGGAGAGUGAGGGAGAUGAUAUAAUAUCCAAGGCAUUUAGGGUUUUUUUUUUUAAAUAAAAGUUAAAAAGUUUUCUUUUAAGCACAAUUUUUAAAGCGGGUUUUAGGUGAUAAGAAUGAAACAGCAUGGGGAAGGGAAAGGAAUAGCGUGUUUAACUUGGUCCACGUGCAUUUACCCCUUAAAUGGGUAAUUUUCGUUAUCAGUCCUCCUUACUUGCGUCACCCUUUAUUUGAUCCUAUUCUGUUUCUUUUAUUUUUGCCUUGAAUUUUGCGCACCGUUCCAAUUUAGUCCGAGCAUGAGUGUUGCUUUUUUGGGGUUGGGAACAUUUUCAAUUUUAGCCCUUAUACAUUCACGCGCAUUGCGCUUUGGUCCCUAUUUCAAUUUCAAUGGUUUUUUUAUUUGUUAAUUGUCCCUUUAAUUUUGCUUUUCUUCCAAUUAAGUUUUUAUUUAUUUUUUCCAUAAAAUAAGAAUAUAUUAUUUUAACAUAUAGUUUUGUUCAACAAAAUUCAUAUAUAUUUUUGUAUAUAUUAUUUUAACAAAAUAAGAAUAUAUUGUUUUCUUCAUAUGCAUAUUUAUUUGUUUUUUCUUCCAAAAUAAUUUCAUAUAUCAUUUUGUAUUUAUAUACUUUACUUAUAUUAAGUUUGCUUUAUAUCAUGUAUAUACGUAACUUAUACUAAGUUAUCUUUACUCUAAGUGUACAUUAUUGACUUCCUUUUAUUUUAUGUAAAUAUUUCCUUUUAUUUUAUUUUUUUAUGUAUAUUAUUGAUUUUAUGUUAUUUUAUGCUUGUUUAUUUUCUUCUAAGGACCCUAUUUUAAAUGGUAUAUUUUAUUUAUUUUCGUAUGCUAGUACCUUUGUUUUUUUUAUGUAUAAAUUUUCAUUUCAAGUAUUAUUUAUUUAGAUUGACAAAUACUAUGCUAUGUAUUACUUUUUUUAUAUAUAUACAUUAUGUGUCUUGAAAUAUCGUUUAUAUAUUAUUAUGUCGUACAUUAUUUUUAUUUUUAUUAUUUUUUGACCUAUUCCAGACUGUCAUAUAUGUUACCUUAAGAUUUUUAUACAUUUGUUUGAUUGCAUACUAACGAUUCCAAAUUGCAUUUCUUCUAUAUUAUCUAUAUUAUUUGUUAAAACUUGCCACAUACUUUUAUCUCAUGUACAAAACUAAGCUUGUACACAUGUUAUUGCAUCAUGAUCUUUAAAUUCCAACUCUUUGCCCAACAUCAAUCGUUUUUUAUCCCCAAGCAAACCAAACAAGUAUUUUUAAUUCGGUUUUUAUAACUGUUAAUUUAAAAAUUUCCCAAAACAAAGGCAAUGUUUGAUGUUUGAAAUUUUGGAAAUCGUGCCCUAACGUACUGGGUUUCGAUUUUUCGUUUAUCCAAAAUAAUCAAGUAUCCCCUUUAAAGUUUCGUAUGUGUUUUCUAAACUUCAAAACAAGGCAAUGUUCUAUGUUUUGGAAAUCCGAGAAAUCGUGCCCUAACGUGUUGGAUUUCAAUUUUUCGUUGGACCAAAUGAUCGAGUAUCCUUUUGAAAUUUCAAAUAUAUGAGCUUUUGGAAAUUAAGACUCGGUUGUGGUUUCGAGGGUUUAGAAAGUUAUGUCUUAACGUGCUGGAUGUGAUAUUUUAUUCCUUCAUAACAAAAGAAUUCUUAAUGACCAAUUUGAGUUAUUCAAAUAUUUUAAAAGAAAUAGUAUUUCAAAAUAUCUUUUAAAUUUUAGACAUAAGGACAUUGAUUAAUCAAUUAGGUACCAAUUUUGGGCGUCACGAGGGUGCUAGCCCUUCCUCGUGCGUAACCGACUCCCGAACCCUUUUUUCUCGACUUACGUAGACCUGAAAUUAUUGUUUUAAUAAAUCAAAAUGUUUUAUUAAAAUGAUCAAUUUCAAGGUGAUCCGAUCCCACCUCAGAAGGGAUCGGUGGCGACUCCAAACUUUGAUUUUUCAAAGUCGAUCCCCGUUUUUUUCAAACUUUUAGAAAAUGGUUUCGACACAAGGCCUUAAUUGUUUUCCAUCUUUUGUUCAUAUGUUUGUUUUGAAAAGGUAAAACAAAUCCUCACCUAUUGAUGUUAGAACGGUUGAAUUGCUAAAAGCAUGCUGCGUGCAUAACCAUGCUUUAGGUUAGGCUUCAAAUCAAAUAAAUUUUAAAUUAUUUUUAUUUGAAUUUAAUUAUAAAAAUAUAUUAAUAUCAAUAUAAAAUUAUAUACAAUUUUAAGAUAUUUUAUUUUUCAAUAAUAAAACGAAUCAUCUACCAACCCUAAUUCUUCAGUUUUCUUUUUAAUUAGAUGAUAACUCAAGCCAAGCUAACCAAUAAACACCCAAAAUCUACCAUCAUUUUCAUUUUUUUUUCUUUUGUCACAAAGUAGACAGAAGAUUCGGUUUGGAUAAGCUCUACGUUAUUAAGUCAAAAGCUGAAGUAAUUUUAAUCAUAAAUUGUUUUAUUUGUUUAUAAUGCAAAACAAUGACCCAAUUAAUACAAUAAAGCUUUAACUUUGUGGGAAUUUUCAGUCCAAAAAAAAAAAAACAAUUUGUGGAAAUUUUAGAGCAGUUGACCAUUUCUUCCGAAUUAGUUUUCUCACUUCUUGUCCAUAUUCCAUGUAUAUUAUUUCAAGAAAUUAGGUUUAGAAAAUUGCAUAAUUCAACCAUUGAACUAAUAAAUAUUAAAGAAAAAUUGGGUGGCAAAAAUAUCUUAUUAAAAGCGAAUCAUAUACUAUUAAUAGAUUUUAUGAUUAAAUUAGUUUCACGUGUUAACGGGAUAUUAACUUGAUUUAGUAAAUUAUAAAAAUGUCUUUUAAUGUUUAAAAUAAAUUAUAUUAUUUGAAGAUAUUUUAAUUUUUUUAUUAAAAAAGGAUGAUGUCUCAAAUUAACUCACAAUCUAAUUUAAUUUUUUAUUUUAAUAUCGUAAAUGUUUCAUGUUUUAUUAUUAAUUUGUUUCAAAUUAUACAUUUCAUUAUUUAUUUUAUGUUAUUUUUAAACAUAUUUGUGUUCUAAAUACCAAAUUUUCACUUAAGGGUAUCAGAGACGAAUCUAGAGAGGCUAGUAGGGGCCCCGGUCUCCUUAAAAUGAAAAUUAUUAUUUAAGCCCUUUAGAAAAUUUUAAAAUUUUAAAUUAGUAAAUGUAAAAUUGCACUUUGACCCCCUAAAAUUAUAAAAAUUUAAUUUAAUCUUUUAAAAAUUAUAAAGAUAUAAACUAGUAAAAAUUAAAAUUUCAUUUCGAUCCUCCCUAAAACAUAUUUUUGGCUUCACCUAAAGGGUAUGACUAGUAUGAAUAAUUUUCUUUGGAAGUCUUAAACAAACAGGAGUUAAGUAAAAAGGAGUUUUCAUACAUACAUAUUCGGCGUUGAUGUUUCCCUUUCGAAAAUUUAAAUUAAGACAUAGGAAAAGAAACUAAAAUUGAGCUUAAUUUAUGCAGUUGGGUUCAAAAUUUAAUAUUUAAAUAUAAAAAUUCUAAUAAUUCGAUCUGGUCCGUUUCAUCUAGCAGACUAAUAAUAAAUCUUAAAACAUAUUAUAUUUUAAUUUUAAUAAAACCAAAACUGAUACAUUUGACCUACAUCUACAUGUGAUCUAUGCUUAAUUAAAUUAGUCUAAAUUAGACGAGAUCUUGAUUAGGAGUCAUUUAUUUAUAUUAUAAGUCCCUGAAACAUGCAAAACUUACAUUUAAAAAUUAAUAUUUUUACGUUGUUGUUAGAAUAUAGGGUUUGUUAAUGUUUUCGUGUGAAGUCAGCUGUUGACAUUACCAACCAGAUAAUGAAAAGGGAACAUGGCAAUUAUUCCAUCCUAAUUGUCACACACACACACACACCUAAUUAAGUUAAUCCAAAAAUUACCUAACGUUUAGCAUUUCAAUGGUAGAGUCAGCUCUUUCUUCUAGUCUAUCAAAAAAAAAAAAUCAAUUUAACCCCUAACUCUUGGAUGGAAAAGUUUUUGCUAUGAACUUGUUGAAGUGAAUCUAAUGUGAUAUAAACACAUCACAAUCCAUGUGUGUAAUUAAAAAUAAUAGAGAGAGAUUGAAUAAUUUAAAGGGAAAAAAAAAGAAUUUACUCCCUCCACUAACAGGUAACUCUUGCAGCUUGAAUCUACAACGUAUGUAUGAAAGUGAACACCUUUAAUUAAUGAAUAAAUACUAAAGUUCUAGGUUUAGAAUUAAUUAAAUAUCAAUACAAAAAGUUAAUUACUUUUUGAAAUAAGGAUAAAUCGGUUUUUGAGGUUUGAUAAUUUUUCACAUAUCGAGGUUUGAAUUUUUUUAUCUUAAGUUCUAAACUUGACAAUAGUUCUCAAGAUGUGAAGGUUUUUUUUUUAUCCAAAUUAGGCUAUGAACUUAGAUAGAAAUCUUAAAAUUCAACCCUAAUGUAGGUAUAAUUGUCAAGUUAAAAAAAAUUCAAAUCUUAAUAGAAGAAUAAUCUACUAAUUGGUAACCCUAAUAUAAAAACAAUUGUUAAGUUGAAAACUUAAUUUUUUUUAAAAAUUCAAACCCUUAUUAACUUUAGGAUUUAACCCUUUGAAAUAUUGCGUUAAUUAAUAAGUGUAAGAAUUAUUUUGUGUUAAUGAUUAAAUAAAUAUUUAAGUGGAGAUCAAGUUUUACCUCAUUUGUCAAUUGUCAGGUGAAGAAUAUAUACCCUAAAGGCCUAUCAAAAACGGACCUAUCUCUAUAUAUCUUUACUAAUUUACUAUUCAUUUUUAAUGAAAAGCAAUAAAUUAAUGAAAACGCUAUAAAACGAAAACUACAUGAAUAAAUUAUAUGUGUAAAAUUGAAAUAUUUCGUGACGACAUUAUUGAAAAAAAUAAUCAUUAACCUUAAAUAUAAACAAUUAUGACAUUUCUAUAAAAUAUCAUUUAAUAUAUUGCAUCAAAGUUUUAAAAAAUGUUAUGUGUAUACUUUUACCUCGUAUAAAAAAGUCUUUCAUUUCUCAAUUCUUAUGGCAUAGUAAAUUUAUUAUUAAUUUUUAAAAAAAAUGGUUAUUAUUUGUGUAUUAAAUAAUUAUUGGGAUAAAUUUUAAAGUUGUACAUGGAUUUUGGUUACAUGUUAAUUAUAAACAUUAACUUUGAUUUUAUAUAAUUUUAUAUAUGAAAUUUUAAUUUGAUCCAAUUCUCAUAAAUUAUUAACAUAAUUAUUGAUAUAAUAUCAUUUUAUGUUUAUAUGCUAUAUACAGAAAUAAUUAUAUUUAUUCAAUAUAAAAAUUAAUUGAUGUAUUUAUUUCUUUAAACGUAUAUGAUUGAAUCAAAAUUAAAACAUCAUGUAUACAUUUGAACCAUAACUAAAAUUUUACAUAUAUAAUUAUACAAAAUUACAAUUCAUAUACGUAAUAAACUAAAAUUCAAUUUUUUUAUAAAAUUAACCUAAAAAAUUUAAUUAAUUACAUAAAUGACCCUUUUUUUUAUUAAACACGUAAAUGACCUAAAAUCUACCGUGAAAAUUGGUGGAAGCAAAGAGUUUGGCACCACCAACAUGCCACGUCAGCAACCAAGAUAAAAAAAAUCAACUUUUUGGUAGAGCCAUGCAUAAUAGUGCUACUUGUAUAAAUAUCAGGAAAAUACUAUAAUUUCUAAAAAAUAAGGGACUUUAAUAAAAAAAAAUUCUAUUUUCUGGUGGAGCCAAAUAAAUUGGCGCCACCAGUUUCCAAUGUGAUUUUUUUUAAAGUUUUCUAAAAUUUUAAAUAUAUUAAAAAAUGUUAAGUAUAAUUAAUUUUAAAAGUUUAAUAUAUUUAAAAAUUUAAUAUACUUAAUAUAUAUUUUUAAUAGGUAAAGAAAAAAAUGAUUUUUUAAUAUAUUUAAAAUUUUAAAAAACUUAAAAAAUUUAAAUACUUUAAAAAAUAUUAAGUAUAACUAAUUUUAAAAUUUUAAUAUAUUUAAUAUAUUUUUAAAAUAUUUUUAAAAUUUUUAAUAUAUUUAAAUUUUUUAAAGUUUUUUAAAAUUUUAAAUAUAUUAAAAAAAAUUUCCUCAUUACCUAUUAAAAAUAUAUUAAAUAUAUUAAAAUUUUAACAUAUAUUUUUAAAAUAUAUAUUAAAUAUAUUAAAAUUUUAAAAUUAGUUAUACUUAACAUUUUUUUAAUAUAUUUAAUUUUUUACUAUUUUUUAAAAAUUUUAAAUAUAUUAAGAAAAUAUUUUUUAUAUUUACCUAUUAAAAAUAUAUUUUAAGUAUAUUAAAUUUUUAAAUAUAUUAAACUUUUAAAAAUAAUUAUACUUAACAUUUUUUAAUAUAUUUAAAAUUUUAGAAAACUUUAAAAAAAAUUACAUUUGAAACUGAUUGGCUCCACCAGAAAAUAGAAAAUUUUUAUUAAAGUCCCCCCAUUUUUUAGAAAUUAUAAUAUUUUUUUGAUAUUUAUACAAGUGGCGCCAUUCUACAUGGCUCUAUCAAAAAGUUGAUUUUUUUUAUCCUGGUUGCUGACGUGGCAUAUUGGUGGAGCUAAACUCUUUACCUCCACCAAUUUUCACAGAAAAUUUUAAGUUAUUUAUGUGUUUAAUCAAAAAAAUAGAUCAUUUAUAUAAUUAAUUAAAUUUUUUAAAUUAAUUUUAUAAAAAAAACCCUAAAAUUCAUAUAUAUAACUGUAAGAUUUAUGUCCACAAUUAUCUAAAGCUAAUCGGUGAUAAUUACUAUGGAAAUUCAAUGUACUUAACUAAUUGAUUGAUAGGAACAAGCAUGAUGAAAUCCAUGAUUGGGAAGAGAGAGAAUUCAAAAACUGAACGCCCCAUUAAUCCAUGCGAAUAAACUUUUUCGGUAUACAUCAUAAUUCAUUUAAUUUUAUCAUUAUCUCUAUGCUAUAAUUAUGUUUAAACUAAAAUACUUGAGACAUUAAUAGUUUGUGUUAUAUAAAUUAUGAUAUCCAUAUAUCCAUAUUAUAUAUAUAUUUUUAUAUUAUGAAUGCAUUUAAAAAAAAAUUAUGAAAAAUGUAGAGUCCGCAAAUAAAAAAUGGCUUACAAAUUAACAGAAAACCAAUUUUAUUUCUUGUAAAUUGAUUUACCAUAUUAAAAAGUGUAAAUCUUUUUUUAAAUUUAUUUACGAGUAAUUUUAUUUUUAUAAAAAUUAAUUUUAGCCAAGCCUAAUAUUAUUUUAUUAAUAAUAUUAUUUUUAUUUUUAUUUUUAAACAAUUUAAAAUUAUUAAUAUCAAAUAUUAUAAUGUUGAAUCCUAGUAACAUACAUAUUAAAUUAUUUAUAUUAUGUUAUAUUACAAUUUUAUUUUAAUAAUAAAUUUUAACAACAAUAAUUUUAAAUUUUAAAUCGUAUUUUUAAUAUAUUAUUGAAAAAUAUUUAUAUUAAUAUUUUAAUAAUAAAUAUAUAUUAAAAUUUAUAAAUAUUUAAUAAUAAAUUUUUUAUAGUAUAAAAUAUGAAUAUUUUAAUUAUAUAGAUAUGAGUAUUUGUUUAAAUCAUGCUUAAGUUCAUUUAUCUCCCAACUCUAAUGUGUCAUUAUACACUGUCAUAUAUAUAAUAUAUGUAAUUUAAGCAUUAUUUAUUAUUAAAUUUAUAUAUGAUAUUAAUUAUAAUAAAAUAUUAUCUUAUUAUAAAAGAAAUUCCAAUUGUCAAAAAGAAAUGUUACUCUAAUAUUUUGUAAUAAGUAUAUUUAUAUUGUAUUUGUUUCACUAAUAACAAAUUUAAAAUGAUUUUAGAAAAAAAUAUCAAAAAAUAAAAAAUAUUUUAAUCAAAAUAAUUCAAAUAAAAAAAACUAAACUUUUCCAUGAAAUCAAUCCAAUUUUAAGAAAACAUUAAAAUUGUUUUAGGUGAAACAAAAGGAACCUAUAUUUUAUAUAGUAUUUGAAAAGUUGUUGUAUCUAGAAUUAUUAUCUUUAAUUUUUUUUAGGUCUAUUUCUAAUUUUCAAAAAUUGAGAAGUUAAUUUCUCUAUUUUACUUUAUCAGUCCGUGCUUAUUUUUUAUUAAUUUGUUGUGUAUAAAUGGUUAAACUAUUGAUUUUUGUUAAUUACUAGCAUGUAAAUUGUUAAACUACUUGUUCCCAAGUCAACAGUAAAGCUUAAUAGUAUUAUCAAUUUGGAAUAAUUUCUGAGAUUUUUCUUUUAUUUUGCGUGAUUAAGAUAUUUUUCAUGUACGGUUUAAGGUUUAUGAAGACUAAUCCUUUCGAGUUUAUAACUACCCUUUUUAAUAAUGUCGUCUUUAAAAUUCGAGUUCUCUUUCUUGUAAGUACAAUAUGCCUUACAUUUAUAACUAAUACUUCUUAUUUUUGUAAAAUAUAAGAAUCAAAUUAUGUAGUAAGAUUAAUUUCUAGAUUUUUUAAAUUUAAAAUUUAACAUUUAAAAUAUUAUCAAUCACAUCACACACAAAACCAAAGAGCAAGAGAAUCUAAAAAACACGUGGACCAUUAAUUUAGGAAUGGACAGAAACUCAUGCAAAAUGGUUGGAAAACACGUACAGGAUUAUAUAUACUAAUCAUUUUUAUUAUUAAGCAGAAUUGGAAAUAAAUAAAUACGGGCGAAACCACUGAAUAAUACAGCAUUGAAAUGCAAUUUGUCUACAUCAUUAUUGUUCUUCACUUCAAACGCGGAGACUAGUCUAGGGUCCCAAUCUUUUGCUUUAUCUCUCUAGAUAUAUCCUUUUCAAACUAUCUUUUUGUAGCUUUAUUUGCAUCACAGCAUUAUCUUUUCCUGCAAACAACUGUUUAAAGAUUAAAACAUGCAAAACAUUCUGAAAUAAUGCACCCUGACCAGAUGACAAAAAAAAAAGAGGAUUCUAAUGUAUCUUACCUUGGAUUGGAGCACGGUCAAAGCCGUGGCUUAGUAGUGGUGAGGAGGAGGGGGUGAAGCGUAGACAUAAUGGGGUGGGGGUGGAGGAGGAGACUUGUAUUUGUAAACUGGAGGAGGAGGUGGUGGAGACUUGUACUUGUAAGGGUGCUUGGGGGGUGAUGGUGGGGGUGGUGGGGGUGACUUGUACUUGUAGGGGUGCUUGGGUGGUGACGGUGGGGGUGGGGACUUGUACUUGUAAGGGUGCUUGGGGGGUGAUGGUGGUGGUGGUGGAGGUGACUUGUACUUGUAGGGGUGCUUGGGUGGUGACGGUGGUGGUGGUGGGGGGGACUUGUACUUGUAGGGAUGCUUUGGUGGGGAUGGUGGUGGUGGUGGUGGGGACUUGUACUUGUAGGGAUGCUUAGGUGGGGAUGGUGGUGGUGGUGGAGACUUGUAUUUGUAAGGAUGCUUUGGUGGUGAUGUUGGUGGAGGUGGUGGGGACUUGUACUUGUAAGGGUGCUUGGGUGGUGAUGGAGGUGGAGGUGGUGGAGACUUAUACUUGUAAACUGGAGGUGGUGGGGGUGGAGACUUGUACUUGUAGGGGUGCUUGGGUGAUGAUGGAGGUGGAGGUGGUGGAGACUUAUACUUGUAAACUGGAGGUGGUGGGGGUGGAGACUUGUACUUGUAAGGGUGCUUGGGUGGUGAUGGUGGGGGUGGGGACUUGUACUUGUAGGGGUGUUUAGGUGGUGAUGGUGGUGGUGGUGGUGGGGACUUGUACUUGUAAGGAUGCUUGGGUGGUGAUGGUGGUGGAGGUGGAGGAGACUUGUACUUGUAAGGAUGCUUGGGUGGUGAUGGUGGUGGAGGUGGUGGAGACUUAUACUUGUAAACAGGAGUUGGUGGGGGAGGAGAUUUGUACUUGUAAGGUUUCUUGUGUGGUGGUGGUGGAGGAGAGUAGACCGGAGGAG